UUAUAUUAAAAUAUUAGGUUAAAUGAAAACGAAAAAAGUGAUAAAGAGGACACAAAGUUUUUAUUUAAUCUUACCUCACCUAAACGCCUAUAAAAAUAAGGGUUAAUAAUCCUAUUAGGUUUAGACUAAAUUUAAGUUUACUCUAAUAGUCCAUGACAACCAAACAUACCUUAGAUUAAAUUAUUUUAUUAGUUUCAAAAUCUAAUUGAAUCCCACAAUUUAUCGAAGCUCCCAAAAACAGCCUAAUAUAUAGUUAAAAAAUAUUGUAUUCAUAAAAAUGCGGUACACGUUAGAAUACCAACGUCCAAUUUGUUCAAAUAGUGCACCGAUAUACAUAUGAGAUAGGAUCAACUAUCUCUUUAUGAGAUAGGAUCAACUAUCUCUCUCUUUUGAAACAAUAACUUACACAAAAUCUUAACCUUUUAACAUUACCUAAUGAUCUCUUUAAUACUAUUUUGAUUUUAAAAAAUGGUGUCUUUAAUACUAAUUUGACAAAAAGUGGGUUACAAAAUUUUGAAAGAAGGCAAUUUUUAUUAAUAUCAAAACUAAAAAUUAAUGGGCGCUAAUAUAUUAUUAAAUAUUUUUCUUCUACUUCAUCUUAUUUUCUCUCCAUAAUUAAUAUGAUUUGAUUCUUCUCUCAAUCUUUCACUUGCUUUAAACAACUCUCCUCUAAGUAAACACCAUACAGAUUUUCCACUAAAUUACAAUCGUCAAUGGCAGAUAUAUAAAAGAAGAAACCAAAAUGUCCAGUUAUAAUUCAAAUUAUGCUGUAUUAUUAUGCUAUUUGAUUAAUUAUCUUUUUGUCAAAAUUUCAGUGAUGAACAAACUCAAGAGUGGGGCAUGAACAAGUGCAAGACAUUUAAAACGUACGUUUGGUUCAUUUUUUUUCUUUCUUGUAAUUACUUAAUUAUAUAUGCUCUGUUGUGACGUUUUUGCUUAUGUUAAUCAUAUUUCUUUUUCGAAAGGACAAGUCAAUUUAAGACUUGUUAUUUUUUCUCUUAAAUUUCUCUUUAAACAUAUGUUUUCGUAAUUUUUUAAUAGAAAUACAUAAUGCAUUUUCUGCUUAUUAGACUACUGUGAAUAAAGCAAUUUAAGAUGGCAUUUUUGUAGGUAUAUCAAGAAGGAACAAGAAAGCUGUUAAAUUUGAUCGUUGUUGGAAUCAAAUAUUGGAUAGUGAAAGGCUUCUAAAAAUGACAAGUAGCUUUUCUAUAAAACAAAGCGUUUAUGAUUGAACCCACUGACUGCACUCAUAUUCUUUAAACUCAUAUGACUUUGUUAGAGAUUUAUUGUAGAAAUGAAUACGAUAUUAAAAGAUAAAAAAGGCUAAUCGAAUAAUUAGGUGCUCGUGUCUUUAAACUAACCCAAAAACUAGGAACUCGUGUUUUUAAUUGGUUAUAUUAAUAUUUUAUCCUUGUGAUUUCUUUUUAUGGCACAGCUCUGAUUUCUCUCCUUAGUUGUUGUUGCGUUUCUCACUGUUCGCUGCAUAUUGUCAGUUUCCAUGGGUAUGAUUUGCCAUAUGCGAUUUAAAUGGGUCAUGUCCACUGAGCAUCCGUUGUGCCUUAACAUGCUAUGAACCCAUGCUUGAAUAUAAAGUAUAAUUGCAUACAUAACAAAUUCUGCCAUUCUCAUGCUUUUGCUAGAAAAUGGUUCUCAUAUCCGACGACUUUUACUCUCAAUAAAAGUUGUUGGAGAAUUAACAAAUUAAACACUCAAAAACACACUAUUUUAUUUCUUCAACAACACUCCUCACCAACUACAACUCUUAUUUUUCACUCUCUACAACUUGGAGAUUUUUUUACUUCACUUGAUGCAUAACCAAGUAACACAAGAGGGUAUUUAUAGUACAUGAGCAGAAAUCUAAACCAUAAGAAAUUCCAAAAAAAUUAAUAACCAUUCAUCUUCAGCUACCAAACCUACCACACCUAACACAAAUUAUUCAAACCUCAUCAGCCUACCUACUCAUGGAACUUUCGAUGGGUUGGGCUUAUUAAUUUUGGGUUUGAAUUUUUUUUUUAUCUUGGAUCAAGUUUAUGAUCCAACACCCCCCCUUAAACUUGAUCAUGUGACACCAAGCAAAUUUCUGAAUUUUACAAAAUCUUCUUGCUUGAGUGGCUUGGUGAAGAUAUCAGCUGCUUGAUCUUGUGAUUUUACAUACUUGAUUUGAACUUCCUUUCUUGCACUGCACUCUCUUAUGAAAUGACAGCGAGUAUCUAUGUGUUUGCUUCGAUCAUGAAAGACUGGAUUCUUGGAUAGGGCAAUUGCUAAUUUAUUUUCAACACAAAUCUCGAUUGGCUCUUCUUGUGGCAAGCUGUUGGCUAUUUGAACUCAAUUACUAUUGGUGUCAAUGUGUAAGUGUACACAACAAGUAAUAAAGUGAUGAAUAAUCAAGAUCGUCUUCACAGGGAUUGAUACUACUAGAGUUGCUACAACAAUUUCAACAAUGUGAUCUUACUUUUAAAUUAACUCAAUGGAAUUAAGAAGAUUACGUAACUAAUGAAAAUGCAAAUGCAACAAAGUAAACUGCAACAAAAAGAAAUACACGCUAGAUGAAAAGGUAAUCAAAGAAAAUGAAGCAGUUAAGUGAUCAAACUCUCAAGAUGGGGCUGACUGUGUUGUGUUUGUUAAGUCUAGUUGCUACAGCAUCUGCUAAAACAUUGAGUAGAAUCCUCAUGCAUCCUCAACUGUCACAUGUUGGACAUCUCAUACCUUUAUGCAACCUAACAGUGGCCAAUUGUUAUGUCCACAUAAGAUAUGACAUAUCAUGCUUAUGUUCUCUUUACCCUUCAAGAUGAAUCUCUAUAUCUAGUUCAUCACUAAUCUUAAAUUAAGCAUAACCCUUUUUGGACUCAAGAUAAACUUAAUCCAGGAAACUCAAUUUAAGAUCAAGUAUUACUCUAACAUGUUCCAUUAAAACAUGCCCUUUUUGUGGCUCUCUCCUAACUUGUAUCAUUAAAUGAAAGGUUAACCGAAAUAAUGAAUGUUAAAUCAUUUAUUAGAGCAAAAUGCUACAGCAAACAUGCAACAACUUAUAUGAUCAAUCAAGAACCCAUCUAGAUUAUUUGUCACUCAACUACAAUUAAAUUUAGUUAAUAGUUUGUAAAAGAAAAACAAGCAACGAAGGCUUAGCCAGCAAGUACAUCUUUUUGAUCAAAAGAAAUAACAAGAAAAUAAGAAAAGAAAGAGAAAAGUUUAAUCCCAAUUAUUCUGCAGAUUUGUUACUGGUGCAGACUUGCUUCUUUCUCUUCAAUUCUUUUCCUUCUUCAUUCCUUUCUUGGUUUUUCCCCUGAUUGUGAUUGACGGCCUCCUCAUUUUUAUGUGUGUGAUUCUUUUUAUAGUUGAAAAUUAGGGUAAACGAAAGCUUAGGGCGCAAAUCUGUCAUAUUUGGAAACUUCAUAUCGCAAUUCUACUAGUAUUCUGCGCGAAAUCUUUUGCUGUUGUUCUAGGAUUGCUACAGCAAUGGUUGUUACAACAACAGCUCCAGUAACUGCACUGUUCCAGACUUAAUUCCAUUUUUCUAUCAUCUUGUUCUUUUCUUGUCUUUUUCAAGUCUAAGCACACAAUUAUUCUAAAACAACAUAAUUUAUUAAAAAAUAAACUAAAAUGGUUAUUCAUGCAAAAUAAAACUAAAAUGCAAUAAAAACAUGUCGUUUACUCUCAAAGUAAACAUGAUUUAAGUCUAAAAGUGUCAUGAUAACUCUCAUUUCAUAGAGUUAUCACAAGCCCAACUCUUUAAGCAAAUUUCUGAGCCAAAUUGCAUGGCAAACACUUGAUGUAACAGCUACGUACACCAGCUUCACAGGUGGAAAGUGUGAUAAUUGGUUGCUUCUUUGACAUCCAUGUGAAAGCAGUAUCUACCAUAAAAAACAUAAAUCUGGUGGUGCUCUUUCGAUCAUCUACAUCUCCACCCCAAUCGCUAUCACUAUAUCCAACAAGCUUGUAGUCAUUAGAAAAUGAGUAUAACAAGCCGAAAUUAAUUGUACCUUUGACGUAGCGAAUGAUUCUUUUUGCAACUUUAAAAUGGGUGGUCUUUGGGUUCUCCAUGUAUUGACUCACAAGUCCAACAACAUAAAGGAUAUCUGGUCUUGUGCAUGACAAAUAAUGUAGGCUUCCGACCAAACUUUUAAAGAAUGUUGGAACUAUAUCUUCGCUUUUAUCAUGUUUGGAUAACUUGACUCCGCAUUCCACUGGCGUGCUUAUAGGCUUGCAAUAAUUCAUCUUGGACUUCUUGAGAAUCUCCUUUGCAUAACUUUCUUAGGAGAUAAAUAUGUCUUCUUCCUUUUGCUUGACUUCAAUGCCGAGGUAAUAUGCUAUCAGUCCGAUGUCAGUCAUCUCGAACUCUUUGAUCAUCACUCUCUUGAAGUCUUCAAACAAGCUUGGAUCACUUCUAGUGAAAUUGAGAUCAUCUACAUACAGGCACACAAUCAAAAUGUCUCCAUUUUUUUCUUUCUCCAUCUUUUUCUUUGACGUAGAAAGCAUGUUCAUAUGGGCAUUUGGUGAAGCCGUUCUCUUGAAAAUACUUAUCAAUUAUGUUAUUCCAUGCCCUUGGUGCUUGCUUUAACCCAUAAAGAGCUUUCUUCAAUCUCAAAACUUUGUCUUCAUGUCAUUUCACCAUAUAUAUUAAUGGUUGUUCGAUGUAAACUUCUUCUCUAAGGAAUCCAUUCAAGAAAGCAGACUUCACAUCCAUUUGAAAAAUCCUCCAUUUGUUCUAAGCAGCUAAAGAAAUAAUAAGUCCAAUAGUUUUAAGUCGAGCUACAGGAGCAAAUACCUUGUCCACACCAGAGCCAAAAUUCCAUUCUCUUUAUUCUUCAAAAACUACAACUCGAUUUAUCACGAUCUUCCCGUUGUUUGGAUUGUAAAGCUUGUAUCAUUUGGAGUUGUUGUCAUAGCCGAUGAAGAUGAACUUCUCACUUUUGUCAUCUAGCUUGGCUCUUCUUUCGUCUGAUAUAUGUACAUGGGCAAUGCUUUCAAAAACUCUCAGAUGGGCGAUACUGGGCUUUCUUCCACUCUAAGCUUCUUGUGGCGUCUUGCCCCAUACACUUCUUGUUAGAGAUCGAUUAGAUAAGUAGACUGCACAUGCAACAACUUCAACUCAAAAUUCUUUAGGUAGUCUCUUACUUUUGAGCAUGCUUCUUACAAUGUCGAGGAUGGAACCUGUUAUUCUUUUCUGCAACAUCAUUUUGUUGAAGGGAUUUUGGAACUGUCAAAGGGCAUCAAAUUCCAUUUGCUUCACAAAAUUCUACGAAUUCUUUGGAAGUGAACUCUCCACCUCGAUCAGAUCUCAUGACUUUAAUCUGGUAUCCACUUUCUUUUUCCACUACAACUUUAAACUUCUUGAAAGCUUCAAAGACUUCUGAUUUCUGCUUCAAAAAGUACACCCAAGUCUUUCUUGAAAAAGCAUUUAUAAAGAAAAGGAAGUAGUUAUUUUUACCAAGGGAGCUUGGCUUGAAUGGACAACACACAUUAGUAUGAACGAGCUCAAGUGGCUUCUGAGCUCUUGAGUUUGACUCAUUUGGAAAGAUCUUUCUGAACUGCUUGCUAAGUAAACAUCCUUCACAAAGCUUAUCAGGGUGAUUGAUGUAUGGUAAGCAUUUCACCAUGUUCUUCUUGGAUAGUAGCUCCAGUCCUUUAAAGUUGAGAUGCUCAUAUCAAAGAUGCCAAAUUCAGAAUAGAUCUUUGUGAAAGGCUUUGAGACAUUUUACAACAUCAUUUUGAAUAUUUAAAUGAAACAUUCUAUUUUUUGACAUUUUCACCUUUGUAAUUAUAUUUCUUUUGUCAUCUCUUAGGAAAAGACUACAAUCUUUUAAGUGAAUAUCAUAGUUUUUUUUUUCAAGAGCUGACCCAAACUAAGGAUGUUGCUUUUCAUAUUGGGCACAAAGUAAACAUUCGAAAUUAUUUGGUGGCUACCAUCUUUUGCACGAAAAAGAAUGUUACCUUUGCCCUUUACUGGUACUUUUGAAUCAUCUUUAAAAGCAGCACUACCAUUCAUAAAUUCAUUUAGUUCCACAAACAUGUUUCUAUUUCCGCUCACAUGAUUGCUAGCACAUUUGUCAAGAUACCAUGUAUUUUCUUGACCUCCAUCAUUGCGUGCUAGUAAAAGGGUGGCAUCUUCACUAUUUUUCUCUCCAGCAUAAUUCACUCUCAUUAAUUCUGGUACUUUGAGCUCUACAUUCUAAAGCAUAAUGCCCAAACUUUUGACAAUUAUAGCAUUGUACUUGGGAUUUAUCAUACCUUGAUCUUGGAUUGCCUCUGCCUCGUCCUCUGGUUGAGCUUUCUCCUUUGGCAUAAUUGGAGUUGUUGUUGUUAAAAUUCUAACAUCGUCGAUAACGACGACCUCAACCUCAACCUCAAAUAUAAUGCAUUCUCUAGUUGUCGGAGCUUUCUUCUCUUUUCUUUGGAUUGACUUCUAUCUUGAGAAGUUGUUCUUCGAUUCCUUACUUCUUUUUCAGUUUUUCUUAAUAGGUUUGCAACAUUCCUUGAAGUUGCUCGAUCGUCAUAUCCUCCAGAUCUUUUGUUUCCUUAAUUGUCACAAAUUGAGCGAGAAUAUGGAGAUUUUCAAUGCAGGGAUUAAUCCAGAACGUUGAAAAACCCUAAGAGGGACUCGAGUCAACUUUCGGUCAACGGUCAACGUUUCUGCUUAGUUGACUUGGCUCGGUCCGGCUCUGUGUGGCUCGGUUCGGAUCUGGUCAGCUCGGUUCAGCUUGGUUCAACUCGGUGAGUCGACUCAACUUUAAGACAGAAAAUUUUCGACAGCGAGUGUGAACACACUCGGUCUCUGAUCGGGCUGAUAUUUGCGACGUCAUGUUCCUUUCGUCGAGAACUUUGAUUUGAUAUGUUAUACGACUAUAUAUAGCAUUGAACAUUAGCUCUGAUACCAUUUUUUUUGGAGAAUUAACAAAUUAAACACUAAAAACACACUAUUUUAUUUCUUCAAAACAAUGCUCACCAACUACAACUCUUAUUUUUCACUCUCUACAACUUAGAGAUUUUGUUACUUCACUUGAUGCAUAACCAAAUGACACAAGGGAGUAUUUAUAGUACAUAAGAAGAAAUCUAAACCAUAAGAAAUUACAAAAAAUUAAUAACUAUUCAUCUUUAACCUACCACACCUAUACCACAAAUAAUUCAAACAUCACCAACCAUACUUACUCAUGGAACCUUCAUAGGUUGGGCUUAUUAAUUUGGGUUUAAAUUUAUUAUUAUUAUUAUUAUCAUCAUCAUCAUCAUCAUCAUCAUCAUUAUUAUCAUCAUCACCUUAGAUCAAGUUUAUUAUCCAACAAAAGUAACAUAUAUGACAUUUUUGUUUCAUUUAUAAACCUUGACGAGUGAGGGAAUUUAUUAGAAUCAUCGAAAAGAGACCUCAUCAUCGGAAAGAAAUAGAAACUGGAAAGUCGAGGCCAACAUCAAUUGAAACUGCACUCUUGGGAUUCGUAACGCAUCAUGCACUAUAAUUCAUCAUCCUUUGGUGACAGGUGAUGAUGUGGCAACUAUGUGUUUGUCGUCCAAGGGAAUUGGCUGAAAAAGCAAUGUGAAAACUACAUCCAUAGUCUCUUGGUUUUGAGCUCCAUGCCCAUCUCCAUGUAGAUACAUAAAAUGGGACACUCUCACAACAUUCAAUAUGAAUUCGACUGUAGUUUGCGAUAAGGGAAAAUCUUUAUCAGCUCUGUAUGCAUUCACCUUCUUCCACAUCUGUCUCAUCAUAUCCUUGAUGUGUUCACGAGCAACUUCCUCCGAGGCACCAGUUUCAUGCAUGUAACACUGGAUUGAUUUCGGAACAUCCCCUCUCCGUAUCUCAUCCUGAUGAAUUAUUGGGUAAAAAAAAAAGUACAAUCAAUUCACAAAUAAAGGAUUAAUUCAAUUUCUGUCUUGUUAAAAAAAGAAAAACUAAAAAAUACCGAUGAAGUUCCCAAAUCAUCUUGAAGACGAAGAAUCUUGAAUGACCAGUGACUUAUAUCUUGAUUACUUUCUAAAAAUUCUAGUUCCUUCUCAAUGAUUGGAUUUGUCCCAGAAAGGUAUGCAGUCAUUGUAACCAUAGGGCCUCCUAUUGAUACCAAUCCAUUUUCCAAGAAUUCUCCCAGUGUUGGCGUGUACUUACCAUGGUACCAUUUUGCCUCCACUAAGUAGGCUUGUAUAUUGCGAAGCCACUGAUGCACAAGACACAAAAAGUAGCAGUAGUUACAACUUACAAUUUUUUUUUUUUUUUUUUUUUUUUUGCGACAAAAACAUCGUAAUGUGAAAUGGAUAAAUCAAAGGAAAAGGAAUGGCAGCGGAGGUGCAACUAAUAUUUUACGUACCGCAUUUUUUAUACUUCGAAGUAUAUCAAAAUCCUGUUGUUUGAGUACGUAAUAAGUAAAUUCAUUAACCAAGUUGUAAAGCGCAAGAAAACAGAUUUUCAUAUAGUCCGGAAGGUGGUUCAAAGCAUAAUUGAUGUCCCACCUGUAGAAAACGAAAAAAAAAAAAAAUUCAUAUGACUGGUCUAUUAAUUUGAGAGGUAGCAAGCAGCUAGCUAGCAGUUGAAUUAAUCAAUUAGGUAUAACAUUAAUUUGCCAACAAACCUCUCAACAGCAUCAGCAAAUAGCUCAAGUUCAUCCAAAGUUCCAUAAACAUCAUAAAUAUCAUCAAUCACUGAAAUUAGAGCAAAUGUGAUUGUGAGUAUUCUCCUACAGUAGGCGAAUUGAGGCUCAAACACUAUCCCCAUGCUCCAUACGAAGGAUGCUACCAAGCUGUCCCUCGCAAAGCUCAGUUUCUCUCCAAGACCUAUAUCCUUCCACCACCUUCAUAGGAAAAUUAAAACGAAUAUUAUGACUCGUAGCUUUACAAUACAUCUAUUAUAGAGUCAUCUUCUAGUCCGAGAUUCCUUAGAGUGAAUCUCUGGUGCAAACGUCUGUAUUUUAUGAAGUGCAGACUCAGACCUUUACACUACUGUAAAAGGUGUAGUCUGCACCUGAGAAUAAUUUAAUAUGCAUAUGAUUAAUUUGUACAAGUUAUGUAUGUCAUAAACUAAAAUCUUUGAUACAUACAUAAAUAUGAGUUAUGCAACCAAGCAUGGAUACCUUGAAACAUCUUUAAGUUCUUCCUGGUAAAUUGCCUGCAAAACGUUGAAUUCCAACUUAGCGAGCUCAAGUAAAAGGUGGUUCUUGUCCUCUCUUUUCUCAUAAACGUCUAUGAACCACCUUGCCUCUAACAUUGGAACUUUCCAAUGCAGAGGGAGCUCCAGUCCACGCUUUGCUUGUUCUGCUACAAAGACAUCCCCUUGCUUGCUCUUGCUGAUCAUCACUUCUUUUAGAUGUUUACUGGUGAAUUGCCAGGCCUCCUCCAUGAUGCUUUCUCCUUCUAAGCUGAAAUACGAGGCUUCAUGCAAGCUCAGUACUCCCUUGAAAUCAUCACAAAUGAAGCCUCCCUGGUCGUCUUUAAAACCAUUGAAGACCUCUGCAGCACUCAACCAAAAAAGGUUACAUUCGUCAAAAUUUUUGCAUCCAUAUAUUAAUUAGAGAAUGAUUGAAGUAUCCCCAGCGGCGCCCUUGUCGAGUUCGAAUUCUCAGGAGAUAGAGAGUUAUAAAACUGAUUUGGGUUUCGUCCAUUUCUUUAAAUUUAAAAAAAGAAAAAAGAAAAAAGAAAACAGAAAGAUCGAUUCAAGUAUUCAGAUCAUGCAUGUACCUUGAGAAACAGGAUAGCCAUGUUGUCUAAGUAGUCUGAAUUCAAGGGAGGUUGCAUACAGAUUUUCUUUUCUCCAAACAUAAUCGUUAUUACUGUUGUAGAUAUCAUGCAAUAUGUUCCGAAUCUCAGUCUCAAAAUGAUAAGCCAAUCCAAGUCUUUGCAAGCUGUCAAUCAGCUCCAACUGAUUCAGAGGCUCGGUUACAUCCUUAAUCGUUGUCAUUACUUUUCCCUUCAGCUCUUCUUCUCGUCUUUUGUAUGUUUCAUCCUGUACAUGCACAGCAUUUAGUUUUUAGUUAUUCAUGGUCCCAGUUUGAAAUCAACAAAGGAAAUUAAUACGUAAUAAUAAUGAUGAAUACCGUAUAGUUGCUAUUCAAUGACUGCAAAAAAUCAUGGUCCCAAAUUGAAGGUUGGUAGUUUGCUGAUCUCCUAUCAACUGUCAAAUUAUCAUAUUUGGCGCUGACAAGGCAUUGGACUGGCUUAUUUUUUGCCAUGAUUCUGAUGGCUGCUUUAUUUGUUGCAAGAGGAAGACAUUUGAAACCAUUUACAGAGGUAACCAAGGUUGAGGGAUUAAUGCAAGAAGACAUUGGAUGUACAGAUGUAGUGUAAGCUAGCUUACAGUUGUACUUGGCAAAGAUUCUCAAAUUAAUCUAUGGUCUGUGGUGAUGUACGAGGUUAUAUAUAUAUAGGCAGAGGAGAAGCUCAUGUGAUUUAUUUUUCUUACUCAUUUUUUCUGAGUUUUGAAAGCGUUUAAUUUUUAAGUCUUAAUAGUACAAAGAUAUUUUAUUAAUUUGGGGGGGGGGGGGGGGGGGGGAAUACAUCGUAUUGGAGGUGUAUUUGAUUAACUCAUGUGCAUAACUCAAUUGGUGGGACAAACAAUGUCUUAAGAAAAGCGAAAUUCGUAAUGUGCCUCGAAGUACACAUCCAUUUUCUAUAGUUUACCUAUUACUAUUAUUUUUGUAACACCCUAGGCGAAUCCCACAUCAACAGAACACGGGAGAAAUGCUAGUUUUAUAAGAGGUGAUUCACAUCUUAAUUGGCAAGAUACGUUUGGGCUGUAUGGGCGCCUCAAGAACAAAACCGUGCGGGCUUUGUUAAGGCCCAAAGCGAACAAUAUCUUGACAAGUCUGAAUUUGGUCAUGACAGAUGAUAUCAGAGUGGCUCCGCAUGUCCUCUUGAGCGAUGGUGGGACAAACCUCAGCGAGUACUCUGAGUCAUUAAGGGGGGUGUAUGUAAUAACACCCUAGGCGAAUCUCACAUCGGCAAACCACGGGAGAGAUGUUGGGUUUAUAAAAUGUGAUCCACACCUUAAUUGGUAAGACAUGUUUUAGGGUGUAUGGGUGCCCCAGGAACAAAACCGUGCGGGUCUUUUUAAAGCUCAAAGCGGAUAAUAUCUUACCAGGUUUGGGUUGGGUCAUGACAAUUUUCUUGUACCUACAAAGUUAUAAACACAUUAAUUUAUUAAAAUAAAGUUCCACCUUUAUUAUUGCAAUUCUCUACAUUUAUUAUUCCCCACAAAUAUAUAUCUCGGCACUUAGUAGAUAGAUUAUUUUAUUAUAACUAUCAAUAGAUUUUACUUGCAUAAUAGAUAUUGAUGAAAUUAUAUAGAGUAAUUUCGUCCAAUUAUAUUAAUCGUUUAUGAAUUUCAUCACAAAUUUAUAUGUGGCCAAUACCGUGCAAGUGAAAAUUAUUUUGAGUUUUAUCCACCCGUUUACCAUUUCAAUAUAUAAAACUCUCCUAUUGCUUUAAAGUGUCAUUUUUUAUUUUAAACAAGUCUCAGCCAAAGAUUAAAUUGUCAUCUGUUCGCAAGAUAUUCAGCACAACACUUGAGCGAAAUUUCUUCAUCCUUGAGCGGAAAAUACAAAGAAACACAUAGUUCGCAAUUUUAGUAGCAAAAUUAAUAUUUUGUUCCAUAUGGGGUAAAUCUUCAGGAGGCCCAACUUCAAACUUAAAAUGUUAAUUUUAAGUUAUUAUGUAGUCGUUAGGAAUUUCGGAAUUUGAGAAUUUUGAUUGUUGCUGCAGGCUGCAGCGAUUUUGUCAUGGCGACUUUGAUUCAUAAUUGAAGUACUGUUGCAAGUAAAACUAAAAAAAUAAUUAACAAAAUAAAAAAAAAUCGAGUUACUUGAUUUUAUAUGUAUAAAGUUUAUAUAUCAAGUGCUUAGGGGUCGAAUCAGUCUUCUUAUACCUAAUUUUUAAUAUUUCACUUCGAAACCUCAAAAUUUUUCAAAGCUCGUAGGGUCACAAUCCCCGCUAGGAGUGGGCAAAUUUGUGUUCAGAUCAACUUGUUUGAGUUUUGGGUUGAUUAGGUUAGAAUAUUCAGAUUGGAUUGGAUUAGAUCAAAAUCAAAAAGUAUGAGAGAAAUUAAUUGACUUCUCCCAAGAAAAAUACAUACUGAUGAUUGAUAUAUAACCAUUAAAUAAUAAAUAUGUUAGACUUACUUUAUUUUUUAGCCCUAAAUAAUAAAAAGGUUUAUUAUUGCUUGACUUUUCGAGUUUAAAAUUUGAAUGUCAAAUUAGAUAAAAAGUUAAAAAAUUAUUUUGAGUUUUAUCCACCCGUUUACCAUUUUAAUAUAUAAAAGUCUCCUAUUGCUUUAAAGUGUCAUUUUUUAUUUUAAACGAGUAACAGCUUUGUCCUGCUUCAUGUGCCUCCGCUCUGCAUCUUCCAGCACAGCUUGAAUGUCUUGAAGAUUGGUAGUAAGCUUUCCCACUUCUUGUUCGACACUCGUCACAAGCCUCCACUUUUCUUUCACCUGAUCUUGAGCAAUGGAAUUCAGCUGGUCCAAGAGAGAGGAAACGAUCGCAUGAGCCAUUCUGAUAUUAGAUCAAAUGGUAAAUGCUGCAAUUGCUUUUCUUGCUAAAAUGCUCAGAGGAAAGUAGCUUUUAUGUAUUCUGUGAGAAUGUUCAUUCAAGCAUGUUUGCAUAUUCUUCUUAUAGCAUAGGAGAUAUUUAAUUUUUAUCCUUGAGUCAAUGCCAAUGUGAACGUUCUUUUGUGCUGCAAAUUAAAGGAGUCCCCACACAUGGGUUCUUUUGUGCACGACAAGAUGCACAUGGGUUCACAGCAUCAACCCAAUGUGAACGUUCUGGGGCUAGCUUUCUGAUCCACCACGUCAAUAAUUGUACAGCAUCUGCCCUGUUUCUCUGAUUCAUAAUAAUUAUUCAGAGUACUCAGCAUCUGCUCCACCACGUCAAUAAUUGUACAGCAUCUGCCCCGUUUCUAUGAUUCAUAAUAAUUAUUCAGACUACUCAGCAUCAGCUCCUGUAAAAUUUCUUAUGUACUAAGCAACAAAAUAUUUGUGAACUACAACAAAAGGCUUAGAUCAAUCCACCGAUGAACCUUCUGAAGUUAUAUGUAAUCUAUUAAUUGUUGAUCUAGAAUAGUCUUAGUGGAUAGAUUUUUUUUUAUUAUAAAUAUCAAUAAAUUUUUUAUCGUCUAAUAGAUAUUGAUGAAAUUGUAUAGAGUAAUUUCGCCCAAUCAUAUUAAUCCAUUAUGAAUUUCAGCACAAAUUUGUAUGUGGUGUGGACCGUUCAAGUGAAAUUUCAGAUAAAAUCAUCCCCUGACAAUUUAUUUAUUAUAUGUUUUCUGAUAAAAUAAUGUUAAUUAGUAAUUUAUUACAUCUGCAAUUAGCUAGAUACUUUGUUUGAGAAAAAAAAAUAAAAUCAGUUUCACAAUGAUUUUAAUUGCAAUAAAUAUCAUGCUGUGGUCUAUGACUUAUCUGAUAUUACAGAGAAAAUAUGUGAAAGAUAACUAAGUAAUAAAUCCAUUACGAAUUUCAUCACAAAUGAAAUUUAUUUAUUAUAUUUUUCAAUUUAACCUUAACGUUUGGACCAUUUUUUUUCUAUAUGGAUUAUGGCCGACAACGUUUGUUAUCAGCAAAAGCCAUUUGUUAUCUUGUCAAAAUUUGCUACAACACCACCAUUUUCUUACAUUUUGGCUUCUUCAAUGUUAAAGCCGUGUGCUGCCAAUUUUACUUCUUUAAAGAUGCUGCAGCCCUCUUUGAUUUUUCUUUGUUCAAAAUGGGCUGCUUUUAGAAUUUAGCAGUUACUUUUCUUGACAUUAAAUAGAUAGAACACUCUAGCACGUAGUUCUAAUCAUGUUGCAGAUAGAACACUCAAACACGUUGUUAUAAUCAUGUUGCCUUGACCUUAUUUUCUUAAAGCAUGUUGACAAAUACAAUAAUCUGCAUUUGGAGGAUGAUUAUGAAGAUAAAAACAAUAGAAAGUAUAAAUGACUAAUAAUAUACAUGACUUUAAGUGACAUGAGAUUUUUAAAACUAAACAAAGCUAACACAAGUAGAUGAUCCUUUCAUUAUAAUAUGUCGCAAAAUAAAAACUAAAUAAUAUUUAUUUCUUUUAUUUUUUUAGUUUAAUUCAUACUUCAGAAUUAUGUUAGGAUCAACCCAUACAAAGAAAAUCUCACAAGUCCUCUGAAGUAAUAAGCAACAUACAUAUGUGUGUGUGUGUGUAGUACAAUUUAAUAUUAUUUCAACUAGCGAAAUUUAUUGUGGAAGUCAUAAAAAUUAAGAAUGAAGAAAAGGAACCAUGAACCCAAAACAGAACGCAAAAAGUAGUCAUAUUUGUUCAUGAGGGAAUUCUAACAUGCCAAUCCUUGUGUUUAGAAUAAUCAACGAUGUCGAUAUUUCUCUAUAAUGGUCUUACAUUGAACAGAAACGUACGGAAGCAUGUGUUUAAUAAUCAACGAAUCAUACGAGUCAAAGAGUACUGAAAAGAAUACGUAAAAACUCUUUUAAUCCCUAUAUUUUGAGGUUAGUAACGUAUAUUUUUAAGAAUACCUCAAAACUCCCAGCCGUUAAACUAUUGACGCAUCUGCCUUUUUAUUUUUAUUCCUUUUAACUUGCUUCAAUAAUAUUAGCCUUUUACAAUAAUUUUUUUGGAGAGUAAUAAAAAGAAAAAAAAUUAUCAAUUUAAACCUAAAAAUAAUACACACACAUACAUAUACACUAAUUUUUCUAAAAGCUCACAUAUGUAAAAAAAAGUAAUAUUGUAAAAAAAAUUAAAUUACGAACUUUUUUGGACAUUAAUAAAAACAUAAAUAUAUUAACUCCUCAGCAAAAUGUUCCACAUUAAUUUUUUGAGAUUAAAUUGAUAAUUCAAUUUUUUCUUUUUAUUAAUGUAAAAAAAAUAAACAUUAUUGUGAGAGAGUAAUAUGUAAAAGCAAGCUAAAUGGAACAAAAAGUAACGGCAGGGGUUUCAAUAAUUUAACAAUAGAGAUGUUUUGAGGUAUUUCUAAAUAUAUAGUGACAAAAAAGAUGCUAACCUAAAAAUAUAGGAGCUAAACGAGCUUUUAUCCAAAGAGAAUCCAUGUAUAGCCGAUUUUACUAGAAUUUGCAAAUAAAAUGCAAAUACCAUUAGUCUUAUAAAAAACAUGCAACUUUUUAUCAGCAACCUGUAAAAUACCAUUAGAAGAGAUACUUGUACCAUUUCCAUGGGAUCAUCAAUCUCGAAACAAAACAGUUUCUGCGAGGCACCAUAUCAGCAUGUAAAAUGCCGCUUCAUUGACUAGUAUUUGAAAAUGACAAGAAGUGCAUAAGAGAAAUUUUAGAAUACCUCUAAAGUACCAUAUCAUUUAUACAAUAAGUAAAUAAUUUUAUAGUAUAAGUACAUUUAUUUUGAAGAAUCGACAAGUAAUUAAUGGUUAUACAAAAUUUAAAUUCACAUAUCAUAUAUGUAUUAAUUGAUUAUAUUAUCUCUUGGGUGCUACUAAGUUACAGCUGCUGUAACUUAUAGCCCCUUCAAAAUAAUGUAAACAACUGUCAUAGGUGGUAGGACCCGCAUGAUUUUUAAAGGAAUUAUAAAUUAUAGCAGUAGUAACUUAGCAAAAUCUUUAUCUCCUAUGCAUUUUGACUUGCUAAGUAUGAGAAGUCCCCCUGGGAUUCAAGAAGAAGGAAAUGAAGAAUGGGAACGAAAUGAAAUAAGGUCUUUCUGCAAGAUCAUACUUUGUAAUACCCCACCUCGCUGCUUUGACUAAUUUUGACUCGCUUUUUGAUUAUAUAAAAAAAGGAAACUAUAAAUUGUUUAAAGAAGAGGAAGCAUAUUCACACGUGAGAGAGAGAGAAAGUUGCCAAAGCUGACUCGGAAAACCUGACCCAUGAACCAACCCGGCCACCAUUUCUCGUUCCUGGCCACCCCACCAGCAACCGGAGGUACCAAUUAGAAGCUUUAGAACCAAUGGUCAGUUCCCCACCAUCGUUAUCGUUGAAUAACGGCUGGAAAGCCAUCAUUUGAGCCUGCAAAACCUAUAGUAUUUGCCACCUCCAUUCACCGUGAUUUCGCUGGUUUUAGGUGACGCCACCGAAUGGAUUUCGUUCCUCAGGUCACUACCUUCAUUUUUCGACCACCCACAUCACCAAAAAUGGUCAAUUUGCUGCCAAUCGACCACCGGAGUGUUCACAGCUUUGGGAGCUCGAUCUGGUGCCUCUGCCACCACUGUUGGAUUCAACGCUACAUGAAGCUUCUAUCCCGACCUUUCCUGUCACCGUCAUCUGAAUUUCGAUCACCGUUGCUCGAUGAGAGCAUUUUGGUGAUUUUUUAGAAUUUGAGGGUAAUUUCUUAAAUUUUUUAUUUUGUGAAUAUUUAAGUGAUUUCUAAUUUGGAGGAUAAGAAUCUAAGGGUAGUUCAAUAAAUUAUGAUUUUGAGGAUAAUUUAGCAACUUGUGAUUUUGAGAUUUCGGGAACAUUCUAGUAAUUUAAAAUUUUGGUAUUUUGGUAAUUAAUUAUUCAAAUUGAGAUUAAUUGAGGUUAAGUUUAGAGGGUAUUAUAUUGAGGAAUUUGAGAGCAUUAGAGUUUAUGAUUUGAUAUGAUUUUAUCUUAUAUGAGUAUUUUUUAUUGAUUUUAUCUUAUAUGAUUUGAUAUGAUUUUUUAGGUCGGUGAUAUCGAUACAUAUUUGUUACUCGAGGAUGCUAGAAGGUAAGUAAACUAGAUUUCUAAAUGAGUCACAAUAAAUAAUAUGCAUAUGUUUGACAUGUUUGAAAAGCUUAUUUUGAUAUAUGCGGAUAUGGAUUUAUAUGCUCUGCCCAUGUGUUUAUAUGAUGUGUUAAUAGGAUGUAUUGUUAUGUGUUAUGUGUGUUUAUGGACGUGGACAUAUGUCUGUGUGAAUGUUUCAAUGGCAUUAGCACGAAAAUGUAUUAUGUUUUCUGUGAAAUGAGAAAGUGGAUUUUAGCCAAACGAAAUUGGAAGAAAGAAAGUAAGCUUUACAUUAAGUAGUAGCAAUCCUUAUGAAUUUCCGCGAGGUGAUGAAAACCUAGGCCAUACAUCAAACAAAUGUCCAAAACGAAGACAACAAAUAGUCAAUUUGGCAACUAAUGCAGAGGAAAAUGAAAAGCCUAAGGAUGAACCGUAUAAAGACAACGACGACAUAGAAAAGGAGGAAUAGUAGACAUAUUGAGACACAUGAGUAUCACUAGUAACACAACAUUUGUUAUACACACUAAAGAAAGACGAAGACACUCAGAGACACAACAACUUCAAAACAAGGUGCACAAUCAAUGAGAGGGUAUGUAAUAUGAUUAUUGACAGUGAUAGUAGCAAGAAUAUAGUUUCGAAGAUUAUAGUUGACAAGUUACAACUUAAAACUCACAAACAUCCUUCCCCUUAUUGCAUUGGAUGGAUAAGAUAUGUUGGAGAGAUCAAGGUUACUCAACAAUGUUGUAUUCUUUUUUUCUAUCGGAAGAUACAAAGAUGAAGUAAUUUGCGAUCUUCUUGACAUGAAUGCUUGCCAUUUGCUUCUCGGGAGACCCUGGCAAUUUGAUCUUAAUAUGGUACAUCAUGGGAAAGAUAAUACAUACAGGUUCUAUAAAGACAACAAGAAGGUUAUCCUUGCUCCGAUAAAGUCAAAAGUCAAGGGAGCCUAUCUUUUAGUACAAAAGACAUAGCUGAAGUAGAAUCGAUGCCUGAAUAAGUCCAAUCGCUACUCUCAUAAUUUCAAGAUAUCAUGCCUAAAGAGCUUCCUAACAAGUUACCUCCUAUAAGGAUUACCUGUGACUCAAAUUAAAAGAGAACUUGUAAUGGUUUGCCCCUACAAGUCUAUAGUUUUUAAAAGAACCAUACUAAAAAACAAGAAGAAAUUGAAAUUUUGGUACUUUCGAGUUUUAAGAAAAGUUGAUGCAAAGUGCUACACUUUUGCAGUGCAAGAUCAAUUACUCCUUUGUUACAAGCUUUAUCCUCCAUAUUGUCCUUUGUUUUCAGCAAAACUAUGAGUUUUUUUUCAAAGAGGAGGAGACUGAUGUAGGAAGUAUAUACGAUAGAAUAUAUAAAAAAUUAUAGUAUUUGAGUCGAUUUAAUAUUUAAUAGUCUAUUAAGAUUUAUCCUGUUAGAGUAUAAGUUUUCUAGUUUAAUUAGGAAUUACUUUAUAUCUCCUUAUUUAAAGUCAUAUUCCUUUUACUUAUAAGGAAUCAUAAUUUUAUUAGGAUAGGAUAAUCUUAAUUAGUAUAAAUAGGCUUAUUAUGCUUGUUUCUUGACACAAGCUUUUUCAUUAAUAAUAUUUAGUAUUUCUCAAUUGAGAUAUUUUCUCCUUUGUGAGAGCUCACUUUCUUGAGUUUUCAAGAACGUACGCUAGAACUAAAUCUAGUAUCGCUUCCGCCCUGCAUCAUAAAUUAUCAUUAAAUGUAAAAUAAAACAUAAAUUAAUUAAAUAAAGCUUAAGACCUAUAAAUUGAUUGUAAAACAAGUAAAUUAGCAUAGGAAUGGUAAAAUGAUGUAUGAUUGAUAAACAAAAUAUAAACUUACAAAUAUUACACAAAACUUGCACUACAAGAAAACUGACAAUAGAUGACAGACACUUGUUGAUAGAUUCUGAGUGGGUCAUAAAAGCAUGAUAUAGUUGUGAUAUAUUUUUGGCUGUCAUAUAUUCAUGACUGAUUUGUGAUGGACUCGUGAUAGAAAAAGAGUAUGUCAAGAAUAUAUGAUGUCUUUGUGAUAUAAAUUUAAACGUCAAUAAGUCAUGAUAGAAAUUUAACGUUGCCUUAAUUUUGGCGCUUUUUUGACUGAAACUUUUAGUGUUAUUUAAAAUAAAAUAUUACACAAAGGAAGACACGUCAUCGUUUUAGGGAAGUUGGAACUAUGACGUUUUGUACAUAAAUAUAAAAUAUUAUAUUUUUAAAAUGUUUUAUUAUAAAAUAAAAUUAAAAAACAUGAAACGCACCGUUUUGGUGCUGAGUUUCACUUCUUCAAUCCCUAAUUUUUUCUAAGUAUUAACACAUACAACUCACAAACAUACAGAGAGUAUAGGGUAAGGCUAAAAUCUCAGCCAUCAUCUUACCCUCUUAUAUUGACUUCCUUUUCGCCUUCAUCUUACCAAAAUCUUGACCAUCGUCAUCUUGCCAUCGUCUUCCUAACGUAUUGGUUACCGAUUGCGUUGAGAAAUUGAGUGGGUGAAGGUGCAUUUUGUGGUAUCGCCAUUGUCUUCUUCUCCAUCAUGUUCCUCGCCAUCGUUUUCUGUCCUCAUCUUACUGUCUUCCUCACCGUCAUUUUUUGAAAGCCCUUGGUAUGAUUUCUAUUAUGUCUUUAUUUUGCAUGCUGUUUGUUUUGCACAGAUCUAAGUUAAAUCAAUUAAUUCUAUAAAUAAUCUAAUGAGAAAACCUAAUUAAAAAAAUAAAUUAUUUAAUUUGCUGAAAGAGAGCAAAGAAUGUAGGUUGUUAGGGUUCGCAGUAGCAGAAGCAACAGUAGUGUAGCAGGAGUGAAGUAGAUUUUAGAGAUGAAGGAUUAAAAAAAAGGGAUAAUUAUUUUGCAGCAGUAGUACUACUAGUAGCAGGACCAAGAGCCAAAUAAUUUGCCUAUUGUAGUAAAUUUGCAUGUCUAGGGGUUAAUUUUUCAUUGAAGUUUGGGGUUAUUAGGAAAUGAGUGAAGUAGCAGUACUUUUUUUUGCAACAAAUUUAUACUUAGAACCUAAUUAGAACCUAAUUUACCUUCUGAUGCAAAAUUGUAUUUUAUUUUAUUGAAAAGGGUAUCUGUGUUUUUGUUGACUCUGUGUUUUUGUUGAAGUAGCUUGCUGCCACCUCUUUUGUUGCAGAGUUUGCUGCAUCUCUUUUGCUGGAACAAUUUGGUGUAGAGGAAUUAAUUUUUAUUUGGUAAGUAAAUUGCACUUCUUUAUUUUUAGAGUUUUGAGUUCGUUAGUUAAUUAAUAGUUGCAUGAUAGCAAUUACUUUAAUAUUAUGGUCCUUUAUAUGAUUGUAUGAGGCUUUAUUUGUAUGUUAUGUUGUGGCUAUUGUAAUCUGUCUAUCUACUUGCAUUCUGUGUUGUGACUAAUGUAAUGUGUGGGGUCAAAAAUUUUUGUUAUGUUUAUCUUGCAAUAAGGGUAUUUAAAGUGGUGUUAAUUUGUACUUUUGCAUAUGUAGGGUUAAUUUUUUUAUUUAAGUAUGGGGAUAUUAGGAAAUGAUGAAGUUCCAAUACUGGUUUUGCAAUAAAUUUAUACUUAGAACCUAAUUAGAUCCUAAUUUAGCUUAUGGUGUUAAUCCUUUGUUUUUGUUGGAACAACUUGCUGCCACCUCUCUUGCUGCACAAUUAUUUCCUCUUCUCUUGCAGGAAUAGUUUGCUGUAGAGGAAUUAAUUUGACCUGGUAAAUAAAUUACACUUCUUUAUUUUAGAGUUUUGAGUUCGUUAGUUAAUUUAUAGAUGCAUGAAAUAUGUUUAAUAUUAUGGUCCUUUAUAUGAUAGCAUGACCUGAAGUUGUAUUAGGCUUGAUUUUAGUGUUGUGUUUAUUUACUACUGCAAUGAUUUUGAAUAUUGCAAUGUGUUUAAGUACUUGUAUUUUGUGUAGUGACUAUUAUAAUGUGUGGGGUCAAAAUUUGUUGUUUUGUUUAUGUUGCCAUAAGGGUAUUUAAAGUGGUGUUAAUUUGUACUUUGCUUAGAUAAAUUGGUAAUAUAUUCUGAUAUUUUAUUUAUUUGUAACAUGCUUAAUGUGUUAGGAUCAGAACUAAUUGAAACUGAAAAUGGAUAAGUUUUGGGUUCAUUGUAGUAAAAUGUCAAGUGAGUAUGAAGAUGGGGUUGAAGAAUUUAUGAAGUUUGCUGUUGGUAAUUCUGAAGGCAGUAGCGUCAUUAAAUGUCCGUGUACUAAUUGUAUGAAUUUAUCCUUUCGUACACAUAAGGUUGUUCGUGAACAUUUGUAUUUUCAUGAUUUUGAUGUUUCUUACACAACCUGGAGUUGGCAUGGGGAAGAUGUCAAUGACACACCAGUUCUUAAUGUAGAUGUAGAUGUUCCAUUUGAGUUUAUAGACUAUGAUGACGGUAACACAGUAGAUAUGGUUAACGAUGCUUAUAGGGAUUGUGCUGCAGAUCCUAAAGCAUUUAAAGAACUUCUAGAACAAGCUAACAAGCCUUUGUACCCAAGAUGUACAAAUUUCACUAAGUUAGGCACUUUGGUUAGCUUAUUCAAUAUAAAAGGGUAAAUUUGGGUGGUCCGACACAAGUUUUACCGAGUUAUUAAGUCUUCUAGCCAAGUUGCUGCCUGAAAGUAAUGAAAUUCCUGUGUCUAUGUACGAGGCCAAAAAGACAAUGUCCGCUUUAGGCUUAGAAUAUAUGAAAAUACAUGCUUGCCCAAAUGAUUGCAUACUUUAUAAAAAAGAGUAUGAAGGGUUGUCUGACUGUCCUAGUUGUGGUUUAUCUAGAUGGAAAAAAAAUGAUGGUAGUGUUGACCAAUAUAGGAAAGGGGUUCAUGCGAAGGUUUUAUGGUAUUUUCCGCCCAUACCUAGAUUUAAACGCAUAUUUCAGUCCUCAGAAACUGCCAAGGACUUGACUUGGCAUGCAAAUGAGAGAGCCGAUGAUGGUAAGCUCCGACAUCCGGCCGACUCGCCAUUAUUGAAAUUAGUAGAUAACAAAUGGCCUACAUUUGCAUUAGAUCCUAGAAAUCUCCAUCUUGCGUUAGCGGCUGAUGGAAUAAAUCUACAUAGCUCUCUUAGUAGUACAUAUAGUUGUUGGCCAAUUAUUCUUAUAACAUAUAAUCUUCCUCCGUGGUUGUGUAUGAAAUGGAAAUUCAUGAUGUUGUCCCUAUUGAUUUCUGGUCCUCAACAACUGGGCAACGACAUCGAUGUGUACUUGGCACCUUUGAUAGAAGAUUUACAAACUUUGUGGGCAGUUGGGGUAGAGACUUAUGAUGCCUACAGGAAUGAGUUCUUUAAUUUGCGGCCUGUGUUAUUAUGGACUAUAAAUGACUUUCCGGCAUAUGGAAAUCUAAUUGGUUGCCCUGUUAAAGGAUAUAAUGCCUAUCCAUAUUGUGGAGUAGACACUACUAAAUGUAGACUUAAACACAGUGGCAAAAAUGCAUAUAUCGGUCACCGUCAUUGGCUUCCUCAUGGUCAUGAAUUUCGAGACCAAGAGAAAGCCUUUGACAACACAAUAGAGAGAGAGUUUGCCCCGAAACUGUUGGAUGGGGAGAGUGUUUUGUGACUGAUUGAGUCUAUUGAUUAUAAAUGGGGGAAGAACAACUCUAAAAAAUGAAAAAGUUCUGACAAUGAUGAUCGCAUUUGGUGGAAAAAAAUCCAUAUUCUAUAAUUUAGAGUAUUAUAAGCAUUCACUUGUACGUCCUCAAUUAGAUGUUAUGCACAUUGAAAAGAAUGUGUAUGAGAGCAUAUACGGAACACUGCUGCAUAUUCCAGGAAAGACCAAAGAUGGUCUUAAGUCAAGGAAUGAUCUUGUGGAAAUGGGAAUUAAGAAUGAAUUAGCACCAACUUUUAAAAAUAACAUCUUACACAUUAACUAUAGAUGAAAAAACAAGGUUCUGCAAAGAUUUAAAAAGUAUUAAGGUUCCAGCUGGAUAUUCCUCAAAUAUAAAAAAUCUUGUGUCAAUGAAAGACCUUAAACUUCAGGGCCUUAAGUCACAUGACUACCAUGUUCUUAUGCAACAACUUUUGUCUAUUGCCAUUCGGUGUGUCCUGCCAAAGCAUGUUAAAGAAGCUGUGAUCAGGUUGUGUUUCUUCUUUAACUUGCUGUGUUCCAGUGUGGUUGAUGUGUCAACAUUGGAAAAAUUAUAGGCUGAGCAUAUGGUGACUUUGUGCUUGUUAGAAAAAUAUUUUCCUCACUCUUUCUUUGACAUAAUGACACACUUGGUUGUGCAUUUAGUCAAUGAAGUUAGACUAUAUGGCCCGGUUUACCUUCGAUAGAUGUAUCCUUUCGAGAGAUACAUGAAAACUCUUAAGGGUUAUGUCAGGAACCGCAACUGUCCUGAGGGUUGUAUAGCGGAGAGUUAUAUUGCGAAAAAAGCAUUAGAAUUUUGUGCAGAAUACAUGUCAAACAUGAAUACAGUUGGGGUUCCACUUGGACAUGUGCAAAACCUAUCAAAAGAUAAGCCAUUAACUGGUGGGAAAGUGGUACCAAUUCCUCCACAUUCACUAGAUCAAGCGCACCUGUACAUCUUGCAUAACACGCAAGAGGUGGUACCAUGCAUUAGGUAAUUUGGUGCAUUUCUUCAAUUCUAUAUAAUUUAUUUCUAUAAUUUUUAGUCUAAUUUUUUCAUGUUCUGGAUGUCUAGUGACCAUAUGCAGUGGCUUAAAACACGUUAUUCACAUCAAAAUGACAAAUGGUUGCCAGAGGAACACAACCGUACCUUUGCCGGUUGGCUAACUGAUAAGGUUCUAGCACGUAUAUAAUUAAUUUUCACAAAGAAAUCUCAACUUUUUUUUCACUUAGUAAAGAUGUUUACUUUUCUUCCUUGUCUUGUUAGGUAUAUGACUUGAUUGAAAAAGGUGAUCACGUAUCGGAUACUUUGCGAUGGUUAUCACAUGGGCCUCUUCCUUUUCUAACUAAACAUAAUGGUUAUGACAUUAAUGGUUUCCAUUUUAUUACACGAGAUCGAGACUCAAGUCAAGUAACUCAAAAUAGUGGAGUUAGUGUAGGUGAUUCUGAUAUAUGUGAUAUGACAUAUUAUGGAGUUAUAGAUGAAAUUUGGGUACUUGACUAUCAUUUGUUGAAAGUCCCUAUGUUGAAGUGUGAUUGGGUUCAAAGUAGUAAGAAGGAUGAGCUUGGAUUCAUCUUAGUAAACUUAAACCGAUUAGGAUAUGAAUCUGAUCCAUUUAUAUUGGCUUCUUAAGCCAAACAAGUAUUUUAUGUAAACGAUCAGAUUCAAACAAAGCGGUCUAUUGUCUGUUAUAUGCCUAGUAGAAGUAAUCCUAAUAAAACAAAUGAAGAUGAGGUCAAUAAUGUAACAGAAUAUCCUCCCUUCACCAGAGAAUUUCCAACUAAUGAUUUGUUACAUUUUACAAAUGGCAACCGCGCAAUCUAUGCACGAAAUAGCAAAGAGGGAAUUUGGGUUACCAAUUGAUUAACUUUUUUCCAGUAAGUGUUUAUUCAACUAUUCAGUCUAUGUUACAAACUAAUAUGAUAAUGAAUUAUUGUAGCUACUUUAUUCUUGCAGCUGAUUGAAUGUUAUAUAGUUUUAUAUUAUCAGUUAACUAAUACAAUUUAAUUUACUUAUUUCAGGUGCAGUAAUAUAGCUAAGGGAAAACAUGUAGUGGCUGAUGUUGCUUCUAAUCAGGAAGCUUAUUUUGAAGACGAAUACGACGACUUAUUUGCCGUGGUAGAUAAUUUAGCAGAUGCAAAAAACGAGGCUCAUUUUGAUGGUGUUGAGAUGGAUGGUGUUGAGUGUGAUGGAGGUGAUAAUGAUGGUGCUGAUUUGGAUAGAGGUGAUUUUGAUGGUGCUGAGAUGGAUGGUGUUAAUUUCGUUCCUCCUGAUGCUGAUGUUCCUGAAAGCAGUAACUCUAGGAGAGGUGUAAAUAUGGGAGCUAGGCAAAAUAAAAGACUUAAAACAAAGAAGGGAAAUAUUGUGGUACAAUACAAUAAAAUGGGCGUUCCAGCAGGCGAUGAAGCCACUGAGUUGGCUUCUCUUAUUGGGGUAUUAGCUCGUACAUCAGUUUUAAUUCUCUAUUCCAACUGGCGUAAGGUUCCGCUGGAGACAAAAGAGGUUUGUGGAAAUCUGUUCUGUUAAUUCUUAAAAAUCCACUACAUUCUACUUAAUCCUUUUGCUGUCAUUUUUCAAUUAUGUACUUUUAUGUAACAUAAUUUUUAUUAACUGUCACUUAAACAAUCUUCCUCUUAUUUAGGGUCGUUUCAUUGUUCAUCCUAGAAGUAGGAAGUAGGUGAUACAAUCAAUUGGAAUAGCAUUUCGGAACUUCAAGUAUAUGCUAGCCAAAAACUAUAUCUGGAAGUCCAGAAAUGAUAAAAAGAAAUUGUAUGCACCCGCAAUUGAGUACCCUCAAAUAAAACGUCCUAUUUGGAUAAAGUUUGUCGACCAAAGUUUGUCGGAAUCGUUUGAAGUAAGUAUUUUCAAGUUAGGACAAGUAAUAUGUUAGUAGUUACAUUAUUCAAGUUAGGACAAGUAAUAUGUUAGUACUUACAAUAUAUUUACCUUGUGUUAUGACUAAUCUAAUUACGCAGAAAAUCAAUCGUGUCAAUAAGAACAGGAGAGCUUUGAACAAGUGCAAUCAUCGCCUUAGUCGAAAAGAAUACAUUGGAUUAAUGAAAGAAAUUGUAAGUGUGUUAAAUAUUUAAAUUGUUAAUGAAAUAAUUUAUAUAUCAGUUAAGCAUGUAAAUUUUUUGCUUUGUUAAAUAUUUAUUAAAGGUUUAGUUAACUAUUAAAUUUUGUAACAGUUAACUAAUCUAAUUUCUUUAUCGAAGUAGUGUGCAAAAUCAGGGCUUUCUGAAGAGUUAAUUAACAGGAGUGAACUAUGGAAGAGAGCUCAGAUGCUAAAGAAUGGAGGACACGACUUUGAAACUGAACAGAUCAUUAAGAAAAUGGCAAUAAAGUUUAACUAGAACAAACAUUGUUUUUGAAGUCUGAUCUAUGCUCAUUUAAUAAUAUUAGUUUUAUGGUGGGUUGUUAGGAAAUGCUAGAGAAAGAGGACAAAAAAGACUCAUACAAUUCGGAUGCAAGAAAUGACUUACUUGCACAAGCAUUGGGAAAGCUUCCUCGAACUGGUCAUAUGCAAGACUUGGGCAAAUUUAUUUCUGCUUCUAUGUGCUUUCACUGCCUACAUGGACCCAUCUGAAAUGAGAGAGAGAGGGAGCUGGAUGCUUGCAAAAAAAUCAGUAGAUGAACAAUUGCGAGAAAUUUGCAAAGAAUUGAAGAGGACACCUUACCAUUCAGAUGUUGGAAGUUUCACUUUCCCACAUAAUAUGGUCGAUAAUGACACUAAGGGAGAUAUACAUAAGGUACUUUAGUUAUCUGUGUUACCCAAAUUUUUCCUGAUUUAAGUAUUUUUCCUUGUAUAUCUUCCACUCUGAAGAAGAGGAAAUGGAUGUUUGGUCAAAGGGACGAACAUCCUAAAGUAUCAACACUAAGAAAGAAAGAAGAAGUUCAGAAGAAAGAAGAGCCACCAAAAAACACAACUACUGCCAUUUCGAUGAAGUCAGCCAAAAAUGAUGACAGUGAAAAUGACAAUGAAGGAGAUGCACAUAAGGUUAGUUUAUUCAUAAUAAAUGGUUGUAUUUUUCCUAGAUUAUGAUUUAUUGCCUUGUAUAUUUACUAUUCAAUCUAGUUUAAUAUACUUACUAUUUCAUAUAAUUAAUCUUCACAGGUAGAUAAUUUGGGCAAGCCACUAGCAAAUGCCGCUGCUGCCAUUCCGGUGAAGUCAACAAAAAAUGAAGGCAGUGAAGGAGAAGUGCAUAAGGUUAGUUAAUAAAAUAAAUUGUAUUUAAGCUGUUUUUGUCUUUGUAUGUGUGAUUUCUUUUUUUAUUGGCUAAUUGUUUACUAACAAUUUGAUAUCAAUAACAUCCACAGGAGCCAGAUGAUUUGGGCAAGCCACCAAAAAAUACUAUUACUGCCAUUUUGAGGAAAAGUCCAAGACUUAAUCCUUCAAUCCCAAAGGAUUAUGCAAAUGAUGAGAGGAAAAUAGUUGGAAGCAAUAAAAAGCAAUUGGAUUUUGAAUGUCUUGAUGGUACAUCUAAUGGUAUACAAGAGAGGCAUCCUGAUAGCCCAACAAAAAAGACAUUUUUGAAAAAGGAUAGAGCUAAAAAAGGUGUAGUGCAGCCUAUGAGGAACACAAGGAGUGCAGUAUUCAAGCACCAGAACAGUCAUCCUAUGCUGCAGGUAAAUUGUGUGAGAAAUACCUGCCUAAUGAAAAUGAUGGUGUUUUAACAUAUAUGAUUGAUGAUAAUGUAUUCCAAAGACAUGCUUGUGCGUACAUUGGGAAGAAAGAUUGCAAUGAACUGUUGUCAAUGCAAGCACUAGGAGUAGAUGUUAUUCAAGUAUAUAUGGCGUAAGUGGUUUAAUGAAUUUUCUUUACACUAUUUUAUUUGAAAUUAGUAUACUUUUUUUAUUGAUGCACUGAUUUUCUAUUUAGGAUGUUGGAUUCCACCAUUCUACCAACCAGAAAAGGAAUAAAACCAUUUGGAUUCAUGUGUCCAAGUUUAGUUUGCCCAACAAAUCCAAAGGCUGUAGAAAAAUUUCGCUCAAAGAGAGUUGAGCAUAUCCACCACCGCUUGAAAAAGGCCAAAAAGGGACAAUUCAUUCUCAUGCCAUAUAAUCCUUUGUAAGUUUUAAUUUUCAUUUAAUACUUUUACGGUUGUUUUUGAAUUUAUAUUACUUUUACAACUGUUUGUUAAUUCAUGGUUUUGUUUUCUGCUUUUUUUCCAACUGCCUUCUCCUAUUGUAGCUACCAUUGAGUUUUAGUUGUGUUUGACGUGGUGAAAAAUGAAGUGUUUUAUGUAGAUCUUGUGCAGUCCAGUCCUGUUACUGAUUUAGAACAGCUCCUUAAAAUGUAUGUAUGCCAAUCCAUUUCAUGCAAUUGAUAUUUUAAGAUUUUUCAAUAUAAUUAAGAGAUAACACUUUGAUUUUUUUUUUAUAGCACCAUGACACUCUUCACAGCAGAGGAUAGUAAGGAAAAAUGGAAUUAUAAUUCUAAGAUGAGAAUUGUGAAGGUAAAAAAAAAAUAACCCUGUAGAAACUAUAUGUGCUUAUUGAUUACAUAACUAAAAUGAAUGAGAUUUUGUAAGUUUAUUUUUUUUUUGUGGCAUGAACAGGGUCUGAAACAAAAUAUCGCAAAAUUGGAGUGUGGCUAUUAUGUGUUAAGAUACAUAAAGGAAAUAAUAGCUGAUGUUAGUUUGUUAAUGAACAAUGUAAGUUGAUGAUGGCAUUUCACUACCUUUCUUUUAUUCCAUAUAUGUGACAUUAUUUUUUAAGUUUGACCUCUUAAUAAUCUUGUGAUUAACAGUUUAAUGGAAAGAAAUUAUACACUCAGGACGAAUUAGAUGAGGUUCGUUUGGAGUGGGAUAACCAUUUUUCCGACAUCCUUGUUGCAUCAGCAAAAUGGUUAGUAUUAGUAUGAAACUAUAAUUAUUAGUUAUAAAAUUUAUUGAAAUUAAAGUUAUAGUAUCAAAUUAUAAUGGUUACUAGCUGUUAACAAUUGUAGUGUACGUGUUUUGCAUUCGAUAACAUUGGGUAUUUUGAUUGAUUCCGAAUAGAUUGGUAUUGGUUUGCUGGGUUUCGGUUGGAGGGUUGCUGGGUAUGUGGCUGGAAGAUAUACCAGUGGUGUGGACAGCUGUUGGGUUGGAAGAUGCUGGGUUGCUGCUGAAUGUGUGUUGGGAGUGUUGUUGGGUAAGUGGCUGGAAUAGCAAUGAAGUGUAGUUAGAAGAUGUAUUGCUGCUAGAGGUUUUUGUUGGUGUGGAAAGAUGUAUUGGCCUGCUGCCGUUAUGCCAGUGGUGUGGAAUGAUGCAUGUAUUGGCUUGGUGGCUGGAAUUUGGAAAUCUGUUCUUGUAGUUUAACUGGAUGAAUUUUUUUUUUAAUUUCGGAUGUUGCUUAUAUAUGUAUUGGUAGUGAUGACAAUAUUAGACACUAGAUGUAUUUAUUUUGAAAUUAACUUGUUGGAAUGAAUGGAUGUUAAUUAAUAUUAAUUAUUUUUAUUUUUUUAUUUUUUUCAUGAUACUCAUUUUUAUUAAUUAAUUAAAUUUGUAAACAUGAAUACAAAAAUUAAUUAUAAUUGUUUUUUUUAAAUUAACUUUAUGACAGGAAAUUCCCAUCAUAUGGUCUGUCAUAAAGAAUUUCCUGCCAAAAAAUGAAUAAUAAAUUUACAAAUGAUAACAUAAUUUCCCACCAAAACUGAAUAAAAAAUUUACCAAUUACAAUAAAAUUUCCAGUCAAAAUUCAAAAAUUUGGCGCAAAAUUUUAAAUAAAUUCAAAUUUUAAUUUAAUUAUUUUUUCACAUUAAAAUAUUACGUGACAGAUAUAUGACUAUAAAAUACCAUCGUUAAUUUAUGACGGUAAAUAAUCUGUCAUACAUUAAUGACAGUGGACAUAGAUGACAAAUGAAGUGUCUGUCAUGCACCCCCCUUUUUAUGAACGGUUAUUUUUCCGUCACCUAUUGCAUGUUUUCUUGGAGUGUUGUAAAUUAAAUUAAGGUGUAAAUAAAAACAUUAAUUUNNNNNNNNNNNNNNNNNNNNNNNNNNNNNNNNNNNNNNNNNNNNNNNNNNNNNNNNNNNNNNNNNNNNNNNNNNNNNNNNNNNNNNNNNNNNNNNNNNNNNNNNNNNNNNNNNNNNNNNNNNNNNNNNNNNNNAAAUGAACUUAUUAUUGAGCAUGCAACUUUCCUGUAUUUAAGAUAUUUCCCAAAAUCUAACGUGAUUGAUAAUGCAAUCCUUUUGACAUGAUUUAGCAUUAUUUUUGCCAUUCUUAGGACUUUUCUUGGAUAUAAUCCAUAGUGAUUAUUUUAUUUUAGGUAUAUUUUAGUUAAUACAAGGAUUCUAUGACCUAUUUGAGUUUUUAUUAUUUAUGGAAAGCAUAGUAAUCAAUUCCUACACAAAUUACACUUUCCUGCUUCUAUAAGGUCUAGGUUUAUAUCUCUAUAUAAGUACAUCACUAAAAGGCUCAUCAACUUAAGGCUCAUCAACUUAAAUUUUACAUAUCAUUUGAAGAGGCAAAUAAUAAAAAAAAAUUCCCAAGGCUCUCUAAAUGAGAUUAAUCUAAUAAAAUUAUCCUUCUCUCUCUUCAAUAUCUUCUCAUUAUUGAAUGGCCAGAUAUGUUAUAAUAAUUAUUAUUUUGGUGGAGAAAAAAGUUUGAUUAAAAUAAUAUUGAAGAGAGAGAAAGACAGUCUUAUUUAAAGAAUCUCACUUAAAGAGAUUUUUUGAGCUUUUAAUUUAGUAUUAUAUUACUUUUUAUAUCUUCUCAUUCUUGAAUGGAGAGAUGUGUUAUAAUCAUUAUAUUUUGGUGGAGAAAAAAGUUUGAUUGAAAUUAUAUAUUAGAAGAGUCUUUACGGAGAUGGCUAAUUUUUUCAUUCUUCUAUUCGUCACAUGGAUAAGCAAAUAAAUAUUUGAAGAAUUAAAUUAGAAGAGUCAUUUGGUGAUACUUUCAGGGCUAUUGCUUAACUCGUUUUUGUCAUUAUUUCUCACCUAAAUAGCAGCCUAUAUCUCCAUAGCUUCUUCUUUUUUUAAUUAUCUUUCAGUUGCACAUCAUGGUUUCCACAACAUCAAGUUCAUACUUCGAAAAAUGCUAUAGCAAUCUAUAGCAAUCAUGCAAUCUUGCAGCAACUCAUAAGAACAGUAAAAAAACCCAUUUAGAUUGUUUGUCACUCAACUACAAACAGAUUUAGUUCAUACUUCGAAAAAGAAAAGCAAACAGUAAAGUAUUAGCCAUGAAAUACAUCGUUUCAAUGAAAGAGCAAGAAAAUGAACAAGUAAAGAACAAUGAAAAUUGAAUCCAAAUUGGUCUGCUGAUUUCUUCACUGAUGCAGACUUGCAUUUCCCUUGAAUUAUGAUUUUUCCUUCUUUUCCUCUUGAUUUUCUUGAUGUCAAUUCACCGCCACCCUUUUUAUGUGUUGCGCGCUCUUUUUAUAACUGAAAACUAGGGUAAACCAAACCCUAGGGCACGCAUGAUUAAGAUUAAGAAACUGCAGAUCGCAAUUCUGCAGAUAUCCCACGCUAAGUUUUCUCUAUAGUUGUUCCAGGAUUGCUACAGCAAUGGUUGCCCCAACAACGGCUAUAACACUGCACUACUUCAGAUCUUGUUUCAAUUAUUUUGUGGCCAUAUUCUUCUUCCUUUUUGCCAUCCUAUUACAUCAGCAUCCCUUCCAUAAAUUAUAGACUUCUGGAAAUCUACAAUUAUGCACACAAUUUGAGUACAAAUUACCUUAAAUCACGCAAAACUUAUCAAGGCUAAACUAAAAUGAAUGUUUAUGCAAAAUAUAACAAAAAUGCAAUAAAAACACAUCAUUUACUCUCUAAGUGAUCUUGAUUUGAGUUUAAAAUGGCCAUAAUAACUCUCAUUUCAUAGAGUUAUCACCCAACUUCACAAAUGCAAGUGCAAACUUCUUAAUAGCACGAUGAGAAAUUGACUCCAAAUUGUCUUGAAAAGAGAAUAACUACGGUUAAAAAGCAUCAAGUAUCGUAUUAUAGAAUGCGAUAAUUCCUAUGACCACACCGUCCACUGAUGGCAGUGCUUCUCCACCGCCAGAACCUUCUCUAAUUGCUGGCGACAUCCCCACUGAUCAACAACCCUCACAACAACUAUUAACAUUUCAAACCAUAAACCCUAGAUUGCAACAAACCUUUCAAAAUAUGCUCUACGUUGUCGCCACCUUGCCUACCUCCGUUGGUGGCGAUUACUUACUGACGGAACCACCAUUGAACCUUAUGUACUCCUAACAGUUGCUUCUCACCCUCCAUGUACCACCAACCCCCUCAGGCACCAAUACGCACGAGCACAAUCAAAACUCAGGCACCACUUAUUGCCCACUAUUUCCGACUCCUUUUACUAAGACAAAUCCCCUUAGCUGUAAUAUAUCUCACCAACACCUUGCUGUCUCUCUUUUGGCCACCGCUAGUGGCACCAUCAACCUGCCGGCCGCCUCAUAUCAGCCACUUUUGACCACCCAAACCCACUCUACUAUUUAAAACUGAGACUAGCUGCUAAAUGCAGAAAACCUUAGCUAUAAUAAAGAAACCCUAGCCAACAUCUGGCUUUCCAAACCAAAAACUAAACCAAAUAUCAAGCCCAAACCCAUGAUCAUUUUUCCACCCCUUACUCUUGGUCAUACAUCCAACCCACCCUGAAAGGCCUCUUUUGCAUCUAUUACGAAUCCUGAAGUUAUCCUCAACCCUAAUGCUAAAUCUUUUGUUGAUGUUAUUGCUAGCCCCCUAGAAUCUUCAAUUUAGGAAAAGCCAGUUUUAAUAUUUCAUGGUAAAACUGUUAUCAACUUUUCAGCUAUAGAAAUCCAGCCCAUAGCGUAACCAUCUAAACUUUCCCUUGUUAGUAAGUUUUUGUUUUGCCGCCCUCCUGUAGAUAUGAUAAACAAAUUCUUUGUUUCUUGAGUUUUAAAGGUAGUACACAGGUUUCUUUGCUAGAUAAUUGAUCAAGCUUUAACUUGGAGAGGAUUUCUCAUGUAUUUGGGUUAGGCACACUUGGUAUGUUAGUGGCAGGUUCACGCGUACUUUUAAGUAGUCUAUAUUUAUGCUCUAAGGAGUCUCAGUUGUUCUUGUCUAGGUGUCUUUGCCUUAUUUACCUGUGCAUUUCAUUCAUUGCAGAGAUGCUUUAUUUUCUAUUGUAAAUGCUAUUAAAAAUCCUUUACGGGUGGACCGUGCCACUGCUGCUAUUAAUAGGCCCUCGGUGGCUCAUGUACUCAUUGAGUAUGAUGUUUCACGACAAUUGUUGCCAAGACUUUGGAUUGGUAAGGGUGAUAAUGGGUUUUGGCAAGAUAUCAUCUAUGGGCGUGUUCUGUUAUAUUGUGCCACGUGUAACCAUCUUGGUCGCUUUGCUGAUGCUUAUUUUGUUACUAAUCAUGGGCUCUAGAAGCCCUAGUAACCUAUUGAUUAGGUGAAGGAUAUAGUUGCUGAUGAUACAAGUACGAUACUUAUUACUGAUGGUGUUGUCCAGCCUACUAAGGAUUUUGCUAAGUUUGUGGUUACUAAGGAUAAUCGACUACAGAGGCCUGCUCUCGUCCAAGGUCAGUCUUUAGGCCUGGCCCCCUCGAUGAUGUUGCUUGGCCGUCUGCUCUUUUUCCUCAAGAUACUGUAGACGCGACAUCUAAUUCGAUUUCUGCUCUGUGAGUUCCAAAUGAUAAUGGCUUGCAACAUAAUGUUGCUCUAAGAGAUGCUGAUGGAUGCACUAAGGUUGCUAAUUCUCUUGUUUUGGAUAAUCCGAGUGCUCUAAGGGCUUCCACAAGCUUUACUUUUUCAGGUCUAUAGUGGAUGAUAUUCACUCCAUGGUUGUGAGUUUUGAUUUUUUUUAAUAGUCAUAAGAGCACUAUAGAUGCUACAACAAUGCUCAUAACUCUUGUUGCCUUUGGACUCAAGUCUGCAUAUGGAGUACAUACUCAGCCCUGGUUACUUAGGGACUUGAGCCAUUGGAGCUAAAUUUAUUUCAUAAUGAGCACAAUUUAACCAAAAUUUUCCCCCAGCUUGAGAUAGUCUACUUUUUUUUCUUGGCUUUGCUACAACAUUCUCAUAAAACUCAAUCAAAGCUUAAGUGUCAGGACAAAAUUUCAACCUCCAUCUAUCACUAUCUCUACUUGGCAUUCUCAUAAAUACUGAAUAACACUCAAUUUAUCUUCAUAAGGUUUUCAAAUCCAAAAAAAAAAUAUUAGUUAACAGAGCUUCACACAAUACACAACACAAGCAUAAACAUACGCAUGCAUUCAGAAACACAACCCCCCCCAAACUUGAGUGGUGUUGUGUCCUCACAAGCACACAAAACAAAACCACAUAAACUAUACAUGCAUACGCUAAAUAAAAGGGCAUGUAGAAUGAAUCAGAAAAUUAAAACUGAAUGAAAGAAAAGUUGUCCAGAAAUAAAUAAAAUAACUAGCAAGAACAGGGUACUCCCCUAUUGCUUCGGCACUGCUGCAACAUGGUGUAGUGACUUUAGCGCUUUUUGGAUGCACUUCGCAGCCUAUCCUUAGGGGAUUCUUAUGGUGAGGCAGCAUGCAAUGUCUUUUUCUUUUUCUGCAACGGGCUGGUGGUAGGGGUGGUAGUUUGUGCAUCCUGCCUAGAUGAAACAGAUCUGGUUCAUUUUGGUUCUGGUGUGGCUACUGCAACAACGCCUCUAGAAGUGCCCCCCUUUCUUUUGUUGGGUCCCUUAGGACUAGUAAGAGUAGGUUUUCUGGGGGUUUAUUGUGAAGGGGCUAGAGUUAGGGCUUCGGCUGCCUGUCCCUCAGUCGUGAUUGCGGCAAUGAUAUUAAGCAGCUACUUUGUCUCUGUUUGUGUACGCGUAACUCUGGCUACUGCAGCUUCUAAAGCUGCCUCAAUUUGCUCAGCUUCAUCAUCAGAGGCAGAAGGGGUGAUUACUUUCUCUUUGCCCUUUCGAGAAAGGACUAGAAUAUGAAGCUCAUCUGCUGGUUCAUCAUCCUCUUCUUGUAUGAUGCACUUUUUUCUGAAUUUGUAGAGGGUCUUGGCUGGGGAUUCCUUAAGUUCUCUCUUAGGCUCUUCCUCUGCCGGGGAACUGUCAAUUGCGGACUUGACACCCUCUUCUUCAGGUUGGUCAGAUUGGUCAUCAGCAUCUGUUUCGGCCUCUGCUUGCGGUUCUACUGUAACUUCUUCCUCUGGUUCAUCUGUGUCAAUAGCUUCUUCACUGACUUCUACUGGAGCUUCUGUAGUGUUGGUAUCAAAAUUAUAUUGCUGGAGCAAUGAAUCAGGGAAAUUUCGGUGGGUACUUUUCAUAUAUACAACAAAUUUGUGUAAGUGGCUUUCCAAGUGUUGCAAAUAGCUCCAAAAUCGAUUGUUUUCCCUCGGCUGAGCUUCAGCACAUUAAGUGAUGCCAGUGCUCAGUGUUUGGAUUCUUUGUUCUAACCCAAUAACUUUUCUUGCCCCUAUUACAGCAGCUGGUUUAGAUAGGGCUCCAGUAACUUCACCAAUAAUUCUUUCGAUGGUGCGUGCAGUGAGGACACCAUCAUUCUUGACAUGCUCAUCUUUUGCAUCAAGGCGAGCUCCCGAUACCACAUAGAUGCUGGUGAUGAGCGAAAGAAAUAGCAAAGCUGCUGGUUUGUGGUUUUUCGUGGCACAGUCUCGAAUUUCUUUUUCUAUAAUGCUUCCCACAUCUAUGGGUAACCCUCUAAUAAUGACAUACAAUAGUACUAACAUUUCUUGUGAAACAGUAGUGGUGUGGGUGGUUGGCAUAAGUCUGGAUUUUAGAAAUUUCACUCACACUUUAGCAAUGGGUUUCAAAUCUAUCCUAUUAAUCACACACCCUUCUUCAUUAGCCCACAAUGCACCCUUUACAGUGAGUGUUGUGAAAAUUUUAUUCCAUUUUUGUGGGGUUAAUUUGUCAAGCAAUUUGUCAUACUCGCAAUUAACUUCAGAAGGUAAGUUAUAGAAAGCAUUUAUAACUCGGGAAUCUAAUGGAACAAGUGAGUUUCUUACCCAAAUAUUAUGCUGACCAGGGCUUACCAAAUUCGCGUAAAAUUCUUUCACCAGUGGCAACACAGGGUCUCGAGGGUGGUUGCAAAACUCCAGCCAUCCGCGCUUUGCUACAACAUUGUAUAAUGAUUGCACAAUUCGUGUGGGUUGAGGUGGGAACUGAAACCCUUUUUCUUCCAGAAUCUUGCACGGUUCAAUAAAUUCUUCAUAUUUUUCUUCUGUAUGGUAACUUUGGAAUCGUGAGGGAUCUUUUAGUCGACUGGCUGUCCUUUUGUACCCUGGCAUUGCGAUAGCACUAAGAGUUUGAUGGUAAUAUACCCAAGAGUAAAAUGAGAAGAAAAGGUUAUGGAGUAUUAAAGUCGUAACUGCGAAGGGGAAAGAAAAUAGUUUUAAAGGUCAAUAUGCACAGUGAUGCCCUUAUAUAGGUGGGAUUAAAUGAAAACAAAUCUUGUAAAAGAGAUAAAUUAGAGAAGAAUUUUUUUCAAAUUUAUUAAGCACAUCCAAUAAAAAUAGGCAAGAGAAAUUAAUGUGUUAAUUUAAGAGAUAUUCUUCCUCAAUUUUUAUCCAAAUCCACCCAACCAUCUGUCACAUAUUAUUUCUAACGGUAACGUGAGAGGCUCCGUGAUGAAGUUACUGUAACGAUAAUAUUGGUUGCUGCAGUACCCAAUUGUGUGCUCUAGCAACGAUUACACAUUCUCCUCAAAUAGUUGCUGACACGUGGUUUUCCUCUGUAAUAUGUCAAUAUUACAGCCCCAAUUGUUAAUAUUGAAUCUAAUAAAUGCGUGACCUGACAAAAAAAAAUAAGAAAAGAUAAGAGAUAAAUAAUCCUAAAUAAGGGAAAUAAAUAAAAAAAAUAAAAAUAAACAAAACCAGGGAGGAUCCAUCUCAUUUGAAAUAACUGCCUCCGUAAUGGGUUACCUCCUAUUGAGCGCUUGAUUUAAUGUCCUUCAGCCUGACCUUACUUGAGUGCUCAAAUAGCCGAUUCUCUAAGGAGUAAGACCUCCUUUGAACAAUCUGUAACUGAAUGCAUGUAAUACUUAACUCGAUGCCCAUUGACUUUGAAUUCCUGGCCUGUCUUUUCAUCUAAGAGAUCAACAACCCCAUGAGGGUAAAUUCUGAGCAGCUUGAAGGGUCUAGACCAUCGAGAUUUCAGUUUGCCUAGAAAUAGUCUCAACCUCAUAUUAUAGAGCAGCACUAGUUGACCAGGGACUAAUUUCAUGUGUUGGAUGUGUUUGUCAUGCCAUUGUUUUGUUCUCUCUUUAUAGAUUCUUGCAUUUUUAUAUGAGAAUAGUCGUAAUUCAUCAAGCUCACAUAAUUGAAGUUUCCUUUGUUCUGCUGUAGCAUGUAUAUCCCAAUUUACUUGCUUCAAUGCCCAAUAUGCUUUGUGUUCUAACUCAAGUGGCAAGUGACAAGCUUUCCCAUACACAAUUCGGUAGGGAGGCAUGCCAAGUGGUGUCUUGUAUGUUGUUCUGUAAGCUCAUAGGGAGUCAUGUAAGCGCAAUGACCAAUCCUUUCUUGAUGGGUUCACCACUUUUUCCAAGAUCUUCUUAAUCUUCUUAUUAGACACUUCUGCUUGACCAUUGCAUUAUGGGUGAUAUGUUAUUGCUAUUUUAUGCCUGACUCCAUAUUUCACCAUAGCUGCAACAAAUACUUUAUUGCAAAAAUGAGUACCUUCAUCACUAAUAAUUGCUCGUGGAGUGCCAAACCUGGAAAAAAUGCUCUUCUGAAGGAAGUUCACUACUGCUCUAGCAUCAUUGAUAGGUAAUGCUGCAGCUUCUACCCAUUUAGAGACAUAAUCCAUAACAACCAGGAUAUAUAAGUUCCCAAAGGAUAGUGGAAAAGAACCCAUGAAGUCUAUUCCCCAUACAUCGAAAAUCUCUUCUUCCAGAAUGUUCGUCAAUGGUAUUUCAUGUCUUUGAGUAAUGUUUCCUGACCUUUGACACCUUUUACAACAUUUAACAAACUCAUAAGCAUCUUUAAAAAUAGAAGGCUAGUAACAACCUGAUUGCAGAACCUUAGCAGCUGUUCUGUGACCACCAAAAUGUCCUUCAUAUGCUGCAGCAUGGCAAGGUUUCAGUAUCUGAGGAAUUUCUUCCUCUGAAACACAUCUUCGUAUCACUUAAUCUGAGAAUAACUUAUACAAAUAUGGGUCAUCCCACUAGUAGCUUCUAACACCAUAAAGAAAUUUAUUUUUUUGCUGAAAUUUUAACUCAGGUGGUAGCAAUCCACUUACUAAGUAGUUAGCAAAAUCUGCAUACCAUGGGGGUCCUGAUUGCUACAUAAUUUGUGCCUGUUGUAUCACUAACAGUUGUUCAUCAGGAAAAGUUUCAAUGAUGUCUUUUUUUGUCAAUGUGCUUGCGUCUGCUUCUAGCCUAGACAGAUGCUCUGCUACUUGAUUCUCAGUCCCUUUUCUAUCUUUAAUUUCCAAAUCAAACUUUUGAAGCAAUAAGAUCCAUCUUAUUAAUCUCGAUUUAGCAUCCUUUUUAGAGAUUAGGUGCUUGAUGGCUGUAUGAUCUGUGUAUACUGUCACUUUAGUACCCACCAAGUAGGCUCUAAACUUGUCAAAAGUAAAUACUACUGCUAGUAAUUUUUUCUCUGUAGUGGUGUAAUUAAUCUGAGCUUGAGUAAGAGUUUUGCUGGCAUACUAUAUAGAGUGGAAAACCUUAUUCUUCCUCUGCCCCAACACUGCCCCAACAGAAUGGUCACUGGCAUCACACAUCAGUUCAAAUGGUAGAGUCCAAUCUGGUGCUAUAACCACUGGUGCAGUGAUCAAAGCUUUCUUCAAUUCUUCAAAGGCUUAAAAACAAUCUUUAUCAAAAUGAAAAGGCUUGUCAUGUUCUAGCAAUGGCCACAAUGAUUUAACUCUUUGGAAAAGUCUUUUAUGAAUCUUCUGUAAAAUCCAGCAUGCCCCAAAAAACUUCUAAUCCCCUUGAUUGAAGUGGGAGGUGGCAGUUUAUCUAUCACUUCUAUUUUCGCUUUAUCUACCUCUAUGCCAUUCUUGGACACCUUAUAACCCAACACUAUUCAUUUUUGCACCAUGAAGUGGCAUUUUUCCCAAUUGAGUACUAAGUUAGUCAUCUAACAUCUUUUAAGAACUUUUUCCAAGUUGUGUAAACAAUCAGUAUAUGUCUCUCCGAAGACUGAGAAAUCAUCCAUAAAGACUUCCAAUGUUUGCUCCACCAUAUCCGAAAAAAUAGACAUCAUACAUAUCUGGAAAGUUGCUGGAGCAUUGCACAAACCAAAGGGCAUCCUUCUGAAGGCAAAAGUUCCAUAAGGACAGGUAAAUGUAGUCUUUUCCUGAUCCUCUAGGGCUAUAGCAAUUUGGUUGUAGCCUGAAUACCCAUCUAAGAAAUAAUAGUAUUAUUUUUCAGCAAGUCUGUCCAACAUUUGAUCUAUAAAUGAAAGUGGGAAGUGAUCAUUCUGUGUGGCUUUGUUGAACUUCCUAUAAUCCAUACAUACCCUCUAAUCCAGUUACUGUUCUUGUAGGAAUAAGUUCAUUUUUUUUCAUUUGCUAUCACUGUUAUUUCUCUCUUCUUUGGAACACAUUGAACUAGACUCACCCAUGAACUGUCUGAUAUCGGGUAUAUGAUCCCAGUAUCCAAUCAUUUGAUGAUUUCUUUCUUCACGACUUUCUUCAUAAUGGGGUUUAACCUUCUCUGUUGUUCUACUGAAUUGUUGUAGUAAUCUUCUAACAGAAUUUUAUGCAUGCAUAUGAAUGGACUGAUCCCUUUAAUGUCUGCCAUGGUCCAUCAAAUUGCUUUUCUGUGUUUCCCAAGCACAUCUACCAGGCUCCUUUCUUGACCUGCAUCCAAAGUAGAUGAAAUGAUUACAUGGAGUUUGUUGUUCUGACCAAGAUAAGCAUAUUUCAAAUGUGAGGGUAACAUUUUUAAUUCAAGAGUAGGAAGUGAUUCAAUAGAAGGUAAAGUUGUCUUUACUUCCUUGUCUGAAAGAUUUAGAGGUUCAACAAAUCUGCUAUGUCUGUUAGAUUGCCUUUCUCCCAUCCAAUCUAUCUGGUUUGCUGCAGUAUCUUCUUCUUCAAAGCUCUCAAAGGUUACAACUUUGAUGACCUUAGUACUACAGCAUCUAUUUACUUUGUUUGCUAUAACACAAUCCAAAACACUCAAGAAAUUGUAAUCUUCUACCUCAUCAGGAUUCUUCAUAGCCUCUAAUACAUUAAAUGUGACUUGUUGGUCAUUCACCCUCAUUGUUAGCUCUCCUUUUUGCACAUUUAUUAGAGUCUUCCCAGUUACUAGGAAAGGUCUUCCAAGUAUAAUGGGUACCUCUUUAUCAACCUCAAAGUCUAGUACAAUGAAGUCCACUAGAAAGAUGAAUUUGUCUACUUUCACCAGUACAUCCUCAAUCUUUCUUUCAGGGUAUGCAUCAGAUCUAUCAGCUAAUUACAGAGUGACUGUUGUUGGCCUGCAUUCUCCUACUCCAUACUGCUUAAAUACAGAUAAUGGCAUCAAAUUAAUGGUGGCUCCCAAAUCACAGAGUGCUCUGCCAUUGUACCUAAUUCCAAUAGAACAUAGUAUUGUGAAACUUCCUAGAUCCUUCAAUUUUUUUAGGUAUCUUACUUUGGAGCAUGUGACUGCUUUCUUGUGUUAAAGCAACAGUUUCAAAUUCUCCCAACCUUCUUUUUCUUGCCAAGAUGUCUGUUAGAAAUUUUACAUAAUUAGGCAUUUGCUCCAAUGCUUCCACAAAAGGUAUGUUGAUGUGUAAUUGUUUCAGCACUUCCAGGAAUUUACUAAACUGCUUAUCUUGUUUUUAUUUCUGGAAUCUCUGUGGGAAAGGAGGUGGAUGCCUAAAUUGCUGGGCAGCUUUAGAAGGUACCAAUCUCUACACAUUUGAUUUAUUGUAAGUUGUUAUCACUGGUGUUGCAACUUCUUCUUCAGCAUUUAUUGGUUGAUUCCCUUCCAAAGUUAUUGUAGCUUGACCACUAACACCAAUAUCUUGAUAACUGGGUUGCUAUAACAUGCUCUCAUCUUCAAGUUGUUCUUGUGAGGAGUUAAGUUCCAACAUUUUCUUAGUCACGUCAACAGAAAUAUCAACAUUCUUUCCAGAUCUUAGGUUGAUUACUUUACAGUGUGCUUUUCCCUCUCUUCUUAGAUCUUCUGUAUUGCUGGGUAAACUUCCCUGAGAUCUGCUACUCAUUGCUGUGGCAAGCUGUCCAAUUUGGUUUUUCAGGUUUCUUAGAGAUACAACUUGACUUUGCACAAUUGCUUCAUUCUUCACAAUGUAUUCCUUAAUCAGUAUUUCGAAUGAGGUAAGUGGAUCAUGGCUAGUGUGUUUUUGCCCUUGAUUUUGCUGAUGAAAACCAGGUGGUUGAGUAUUUAUGUUUUGUCCACUCAAUGUUGGAGCAUUUUGAUUCUGAUUGCCCCAUGAAAAAUUUGGGUGUUGCUUCCAUCCAGGGUUGUAAGUAUUUGAGUACGGGUUGUUUUGAGGUUGUCGGUUGAAAUUACCCACAUAGUUUACUGAUGCUGGAUUUCCAGGGUAGUUGUCAAAUACAUGUUCGUCACCAUAAUACACGCAAGACAGUUCAGCAACUUGCUUUACUGCUGCUGGAACAGAAGUCAUGGCUUUCACCGUGUUAGUCAAUGAAGUUACUUGUGCUGAUAAUGCUGUAAUUGCAUCUAUAUUAUGUACCCCCAUUGCUCCUCUCACUGUUGUCUGUCUAGUUGAUGGCCACUGAUAAUUAUUGUUAACAAUUCUCUCUAAAAUUUCAUAAGCUUUAAUGUAAGAUUUAGAUAACAAAGCUCCAUUUGUUAAAGCAUCAACCAUCAAUCUGGUACUUGGAUUCAACCCAUUGUAGAAGGUUUCUAGCUGUAUACAAUAAGGAAUGCCAUGAUGAGGACACCUUUUGAGCAGCUAUUUAAAUCUCUCCCAAGCCUCAUACGAACUUUCAUCUUCAAGCUGAUGAAAAGAAGUGAUCUCAUUCCCCAAUUUUGCAUUCUUGGUUGGUGGAAAAUACUUUAUUAAAAAUUUGUCAGCUAAUUCAUUCCAUGUAGUGAUGGAAUCAGAUGGUAAUGAGUUCAACCAUGCUCUGGCUCGAUCUCUUAAGGAGUAAGGAAAAAGCCUUAGUCUUAAAGCAUAUUGCGUUACUCCAAGAAUUUCAAAAGCAUCACUCACUUCCAAAAACAACUUAAGAUAGAGAUGAGGAUCUUCAGUUGGCAAUCCAUUGAAUUGACCCACUGUUUGCAACAUUUGAAACAUCACUGGCUUAAGUUCAAAGUUUGCGGCUUCCACUUCAGGUCUGACUAUUCCAGGAUGUACAACUUGAGGAGUUAACACAGCAUAAUCCCUGAUAGUCCUAUCUCUAUCAUCUGCCAUGUAAAUGAUAUUGCUGCUGCCUGGUUGUCUCUUAUUAACAUGCUCAUUUUGCCCAUCUUGAACAUUGACAGGUUGUAGUGGUCCGUGAGGGUCCAAGUUUCCCACAUCUUGCAAAUUAUCCAUCCCUGAAAUAGUUUUUGAAUUUCAUUGUUCUCUUCGCAGUCUUCUUAUGGUCCUUUCAAUCUUAGGAUCAAGGUGAAAUACAAUAGAACUGUCUUUAUGCAUGCAAGUAUUGAUUUGUCAAUAAACAGAACAAAUUAGAUCAAGUUGGCACUGUCAAGAUUGACUUCACACUUUGAAAAUAAACAAUCAAUCCCCGGCAACGGCGCCAAAAACUUGUUGGAUAAUUUUUAACUCAAUUGCUAUUGAUGUCAAUGUGCAAGUGAACACAAUAAGUAAUAAAGUGAUGAAUAUUCAAGAUCGUCUCCACAAGGAUUAAUGUUACUAGAAAGGCUACAACAAUCACGAUAGUGCAAACUUCUUUUGUUCCAAAAAGAUUAAAAAUUAAUUACCACUGAAAUAAACAAUAAAAGAAGAAACAAAAAUAAGUUAAUGCAAUAAUAAAUCAAAUUGAAUGAAUUGCGUAGGAAGAAUUCAAUAGGGAUGAGGUAGUUAAGUGAUCAAACUCUCUUCAGGGACUGACUGUUUUGUCUAAAUUAACACCAGUUGCUACAGUAAUUCUUACAGCACUAGGCAGAAUUAUUUUACAUCCUCAGAUGUCGCUUAUCAGAUUUCUCAUACCCUUAAGCACCUAACAAUGACUGUUAUAGUACAAUUUAUGCACUAGUUUUGCAUUGUUUACUUCCUUUAAUAUCGAUUUUUUGCACUUAAUAAUAGUUAUUUACUUGUGUUUUAUUUUUGUAAGUACAAUUCUAUUGAUUGGUGCUAAAAUUGAGCUACAAGAUGAUGUUUGAGGAUGAUUGUUUUCCUAGAAAAAUUAUGAGCUUCAGAAGAACUUUGUUGAUAAGGCGUGGGCGCGUGCUGUCGAUUACAGACCUGCAGUUUUUAGUUUAACGUAUUUUGUCUUUUUGGUUAUUUUUGUAAUUACUAAUUUAAUAUUUAGCUAAUAUUUUAGAUAUUAGUAUUUUAUUUUAAAAAGAACUCUAGAGGAGGAGAGAGGGAAGAGAAUUUAAGAGAGGAAUCUAUUGUCAAAGAAGGGAAGAAAAAGAAACCCUAGAUCUAAAUUUUUCUCUUCUCUAUGAAAAACUAAAUCUAUUAUUCUGGUUAAAGGUUAAUGAAGCUUUGAUUCAUCACUACUGUGAGAUCUUUCUUAUGCUUUAAUUGUUUUAUUACUUUUUGGGUAUUUUUUUAUUCUCUGAAUUAUUGUCAUGAUUAUGUUUGUUAAUUAGAUAAUUGGCCACUAUUUAAUUAUCAACUUAAUCUAUUAUCAAUUAAAAGAUUCAUCGUAUGAAUAUUUUAAUGUUUGUGAUAAAUAGCAUAGCAGUGCAUUGUGUAAUGAGAAUAAACAAUCUAAUUUAAAUGAACUAUCGUAUGCGUUUGUUGAUUAGGAUUUGGGUCUCUCUGAUUUUUCAGGCUGUCAAUUGAUUAAAUCAUAUGAUCGUAUCUAGGGUUGUCUAUUGAUUAGAGAAAUAACCAACAGUCGUACCUUGGUUAUUGACUAGUUAAGGAGAGAUUGGCUAUUAGAGAGUCUCAGUAGCUAUAACCGGUCUAUUCAUAAGUAGUAAUGAUUUAUAUUUGAAUCAAUGAUCAAUAGUCGAAUCAAGCUGAGUUAAUUCCUUCAACCAGAGCUUUCCCCAAUUUGAAUUACAAUUUUAAUUUGCAUUCUUGUUAUUUUAAUUUGAUUUUUAUUAUUGUCAACAAUUCCCCCAUUUUGCAUUUUAUAUUUUAAAAGGAUUUAAAUAAUUACUGAUCUCUGUGGACACGACCCUGCUCAAUUACUAUACACAAUUUAUUUAGAGUAGGUAUUUAUUUUUGCUGGCUUCGACAACCAACAAAUUUUGGCGCCGUUGCCGGGGAUUGGUGUCGUUUAUUUAAUCCUUUUUACGUUUUACUUGGUGUAUGGUUUUUUCUUCUCGUACAAGUACACUUUCAUUUGAUCUUGAAAUUAAAAAGACGGCUCGCCAGUUGAGACAGCAGACAAAGCGAGCUAAGCAACGAUCCUUGUCGCCUUUACUUUCUGAAUUAGAUACGGUGCCUGAUUUAGUUGAAUCAUCUAGUGAUUUAGAAGAACAAGUGAUGGAUAGAGCUGCACCUGUAGAAAGAACUCUUAGAGAGUUAGCUGAACUAGACUUGAAUCAGCAACCACUCUGCAUUCAAUAUGUAGGCUUGGAGGUAAAUUUUGAAUUAAAGUCUGGUCUAUUUAUUUGUUACUCAAGUUUCAUGGUUUUGCAGGUGAAGAUCCUUAUAAACAUCUCAAGGAGUUUCAUGUUGUGUGUUCAAGUAUGAGGUCACAAGGCGUGACAGAAGAACAGAUUAAGUUGCGUGCUUUUCCUUUCUCUUUAGAUGGACUAGCUAAAGACUAGUUGUACUACUUGCCUCCUGGAUCGAUUACAACGUGGAAUGGUUUGAAGAAGCAGUUCCUUGAGAAAUACUUUCCUGCUUCAAGAGCUGCCAACAUCAGAAAAGACAUUUGUGGGAUCAGACAACUUCUUGGGGAGACUUUAUAUGAGUAUUGGAAGCGAUUCAAACAAUUCUGUGCAAGCUGUCCUCAGCAUUAGAUUUCUAAUCAACUUCUUAUUCAAUAUUUUUAUGAAGGACUAUCAUUAAUGGAUAGGAGUAUGAUAGAUGUUGUUAGUGGAGGCGUGUUGGUGAACAAGACUCCUACUCAAGCAAGGGAGUUGAUAUCAAAUAUGGCUGCCAAUGCACAACAAUUUGGCAGCAGGCAAUAUCCCACUUCAAGGAAGGUGAAUGAGGUAAAUAUUUCUUCUGUUGAACAACGUUUAGAUAAACUUACUUCUCUUGUGAAAAAGUUUGUUGUAGGUAAUGUCCAACAGGUGAAGACUUGUGGCAUUUGUUACAAUAUGGGUCAUUCAACUGAUAUGUGUCCUACACUUCAAGAAGAACUCGUUGAACAAGCCAAUGCAGUUGGAGGAUUUCCAGGCAUGCCUCAGAGGAGGUAUGAUCCUUAUGCACAAACAUACAAUCCGGGAUGGAAUGAUCACCCCAACUUCAGCUAUGGAGUUAGGCCAUCAGGAUUCCCACAACAGUAUCCACCAAGACAACCAGCACCUCCACAGUCAAACUCCAAGUCAGGUAUAUCUCUUGAAGAAAUUGUUAAAUCACUUGCGACUAACACUUAACAAUUUCAGCAAGCAACUACAGCAAGCAUUCAGAAUUUGGAGAACCAAAUGAGUCAAUUGGUGACUACAGUGAGCCGUCUGGAGUCUCAAGUAAUAGGGAGGUUGCCUUCACAAUCUGAGGUGAAUCCAAAGCAAAACGUUAGUGCUAUCAUCCUUAAAAGUGGGAAGGAGUUGCAAGAGCCUAGUAAGAAAGUGACAAAGCAUGUAGAAGAUGAGCUUGAGAAGAAUGAAUUGAUGCCUAAAUCUCAAGAUGCAAAACCCACCAGAGCGAAACCCCUACCUAUUGUGAUACCUCCUCCUUUUCCAAGCCGGUUUGCAAAAUCCAAAAAGGAGGAACAAGAGAAAGACAUCCUUGAGACAUUUCACAAGGUUGAGUUAAAUAUUUCUUUAUUAAAUACUAUAAAACAAAUACCUCGAUAUGCUAAAGUCCUUAAGGAACUGUGCACCUCCAAGAGAAAAUUAAGAGGAGAUGAAAAGUUCACAUGGGGGAGAAUGUUUCAGCAGUUCUCCAAAAGAAACUACCUCCUAAGUGCAAGGAUCUAGGUAUGUUUACUAUCCCUUGUAAAAUUGGUAGUGUUAGAGUUGAAAAGGCUAUGUUAGAUCUAGGAGCUUCUAUUAAUGUCAUGUCUCGUUCCAUUUAUUCAUCUUUGAACGUUGGUCCAUUAAAAGAAACUGGUGUGAUAAUUCAACUAACUGAUAGGUCUAAUGCAUAUCCUAAUGGGGUACUAGAAGAUGUCUUAGUACAAGUUAAUGAGUUGAUUUUUUUCCUGCUGAUUUUUAUGUACUUGAUAUGGAAGAGGAUAACUCCUCUAAUUCUGUCCCAAUUUUGCUAGGAAGAUCUUUUCUUAAGACUGCUAGGACUAAAAUGGAUGUACAUAAAGGGACUCUUACUAUGGAGUUUGAUGGAGAGGUUAUAGAAUUCAAUAUGAAUGAUGCCAUGAAAUAUCCUAGUGAGGAACAUUCGGUAUUUUUUAUGGAUGUUAUUAACCCUAUAGUGCAAGAAGUUUUUUACAAGGAAAAAACGAAGACAUUUCAUGAUAGAAUGAUUUUGAGAAAGGAGUUCUCUGUUGAUCAAAAAGUUCUUCUUUUUCAUUCAAAGCUUAAACUUUUUUCGGGUAAAUUACGUUCUUGCCGGGUUGGACCUUUUAUUGUUACUAAUGUUUUUUCUCAUGAUGCAAUUGAAAUUCGGAGUCCGACCUCUGACAAAGUUUUUAAGGUUAAUGGUCAUCGCUUAAAACCUUUUUAUGAAGGUUUUUCGAUGAAUAUUGUGGAGGAUGUGGCUCUCAAGAGUCCCAAUUAUGGAGAUUGAUGCAUAAAUGUGUCCAGCCAAAUACAUAAAACAAAGGCGCUUUUUGGGAGGCAACCCAAAUGAUUUAUUUAUUUUGAUUUUUGUUAUAUCUUCUUUUAAUUUUGAUUCGGAUUUUUUAAAAAAAUAAUGUGUUUGCUUAUUUUGGCCAGAAGAAAAUUUUUGAUAAGGCGUGCCCACGUCUUAACUAAUAAGUACUUCUGUGAUUUUUAAAGUAAAAUGGUUUUAAGGUGUGCCCACGUGCUUAUUUAAAAAGUACUUCUGAAAUUUUUAGUGUCUCAAGUGAUUCAUCAUUAAAAAAAAAUUAAUUUGAUUUAUUUAUUUGAAAAAAAAAUAAAAACGAGAAAAAAAAGAGGUUUUUUUUUCUUUUCUUUCUUUUAUAUAUUAUUUAUUUAAAAAAAUGAAAAAAAAAUCAAAAAUCACUGUUCACAAAAUCCCUAAUUCAAAAAAAUCAUUUUCUUUCCCGCAGCAACCAGCCGCUCCAGCCUUCACCGAGCAUCCCCAGCAGCAGCAGCAACCGUGCGCGCAACCAGCCCCAUCCCGCUCCACACAGCAGCCAUGCACGCUCUGCCCCAGCCUGAGCACGCAACGCAACAAGCGUCACUAGCGCGCAGCACCAGCAAUCCCCCAGCGCGCAGCAUCAGCCCCAGUGUGCAGAUCCAUCGCGCACCAGUUCGCAGCACCAGCAUCCUGCGCACGCGCAGAUCCAGCGUCACCAGCGCGCAACAUCAAUCCCAGCCCGCGCGCGCAACACAACCAGCACCAACCCAUGCAGUACAACCAUCCGCGUGCAACUGAACCAGCAGCCGUGUACCCGCAACCUCCAGCCGAGCAACAAUAGUCCGCAACCAGCCUACGACCUGCAUUCCAGCCGCGUGAAUCGAAAUCUGUGAGUGAAAUUAUUGUAACAAUGCCGAAAAGGAAAGCAUCAACUUCCAAGUCAUCUAAAAAGACAUCCAUCGCAAAGCAAUCUAAGAUUGCCGCUCCUACUACGGUUCCAUGGAACACAAUUUCAGAUUCACGCCAAGCCGUGGGACAAAGAUCGAAACAUGGAAAAGGCAUGAGUGUUUUGCCACUUGGGGAAUCCAAUCUCAGAGGGUGCCUCACAUUCACGACUCAACAAGAGAAAGAAAGGUACAAAGAUAUUUCCAAGCGAAAAUACUUCCAACUAAGUAUAUUCAUUACCCGACUCUUGAAAAAUUGAAUAUUAAGGAUAAUUUUGAUUCUUUGAUAGAUAAGACUGGUUUGCAUAAGUUUGUUGAUGUUGAUUGUUUGGGUUAUGUUGAGUUGAUUAGGGAGUUCUAUGCUACUUUUCAAUUUAAUAUACCGAAUGAUUUUACUUUACAUACCCCGAAUGUUAUAAAGUUUAGGUUAAUGGGAUGAAAUUUUUCACUCUAUCACGGAUUUUAACCUAGCUUUAGGAUUCAUUGAUGAUGAUUAUUCUUCUAGUGAUGCAUAUUUAGGAACAACUUGUGACUUUAGCGAAAAUUUUAAGCCUUAUGGUCUUUGGCGUAAUUUAUCUGUUGAUCACAAUGCCUAUGACCCGAGUAAAUCAAAGAGUUCUUUCUUAUAUGAUCCUGUUUUGAAAUGUGUGCAUCGAUUCUUAGCAUAUAAUUUUUUAGGAAAGAAAGAUCACUCAGGAGUUUCUCUAAAUCUGAAUUUUAUUUUAUCUGGUGCAUGUUAAAUGAUGUGAGGCCUAAUUUAGGUUUUUGGUUAGUAGAUCAAUUUCAAAGUGUGCUUAAACGGUAUAGGACUUUAUUUCUUGGUCCAUACAUUACUCUGUUAGCUACAAACCUAUGUGUGCUUGAUCCUGACAAUAAUGAUUUGCAUCCUGCUUGCAAAAAGGAAUUUUUGGAUAUGUCUGUGUUUGAAAGAACAGGUGCGGUCGAAUUCAAGGAGGAGAGAUUUUAGUUUACUGAAUCAGGACCCACUCAACCUCCAAAGAAGCUUUAUGCUAGGAGUGGUGCUACCUCUGAUGACGAGUUUGACGACGACACUGCUGCUCCGCCGACUAUUCCUUCUACAUCCGCACCACCUUUGAGCAUUCAAUUAGAGAAAAUGGAGCACAAGCUGAACAAGAUGGAGCAGAAUUUGGCCGCAUACUUCGAGAGUGGGAUUUAUCCCACCAUUUCUGCCAAGCCCAUAGACGUUAUAAGGAUCAAAGCUCACAAUUCAGGGAAGUUUUUACCUUUAAUCAUUUAUCCUUACGCUUUAAUUUUUAUGUGAGCUUUGAUUAUCUUACAUUGGGGACAAUGUAAGUUCUUGGUGUGGGGGAGGGAUUUUUGCAUUAUUGAUGUCUGGAAGUAUUAUUUUCACUCUACUCAUUCUUAAACGAUUUUGGAGUUAGUAUGCUUCAUAUAUUAUUAUUUUUCUUUUCUUUUCUUUCUCACUAUUUUUUUCCCAUCUAUCUCAAAUUAUUCAUAUCUAUUUUUAUUUUACCAUAUUCUUUCAUCACUCACAUUUCAUUUUUUUUAUUUCUACAUACAUCUUUCUCGCUUAUUAUCCUUUUUACCUUUCCUUUUAUAUAUCACUCAUACCUUCUUUUCAUUCUACACCACUAUUGAUGGUUGAUUCAUUUGAAGAGUGUACAUGAUUUGAUGGCAAAUUUACCAACUUUGUGAGGAUUUGAGCUUAUGAGCAACCACUUUGCUCUAAUUAUUUUUGUUAUGUGAAUAUCAAUCUUAGUUUGUUUAUUCUAGAACUUGCUUUGUUAUGCAUGUUGAAGCCACAUUACGGGAUUUUAUGCAUUAAAAUGAUAAGGGCAAACUACUUUCCAUUUUUCUAUUCUCACAUUUUUCUUCUUUUUCUCCACCCGAAAACCUUUAUUUGUUAUCUUUGUUUGAGCCUUAACCAUUACCCAUCUAAUUAUCUCCGUCUACUUAACCAUUUUUCUUCUUUUUGAGCCUCAAUUUAAGGAGAUUUUUGGACUCAUUGGGUGGAUAUAUUUUGUUGCUUUUUCUACCUUGUAUUAAAGUUUCUCAAUUAGAUCAACAAGCAUUAUGCAUGAAUUAAAUUGUGCAAGGUUCGUUUCUUUUGUUUGAUUCAUCACUACUGAAAAAAACAAAAAAAAAUUAAAAAAAAAACCAAAAAAAAGAAAAAGAAAGAAAAGGAAAAAGAAAAAAAAUGUUUAAAUUCUUGGUGACUUGAGUAGACAUAAGCAUUUCGGUAUCAUAAGGUUCAUUCAAUAGUUCAUUCUUCUAAUUUUGAUCUCUUUUUCUUUUAUAGACCUUUCUUUUUCAUUUAACCCAUUUAACCCUGUUACAACCUUUUUAAGACCCUUAGAUUUUUGCAUUUAAUUCAUGUUUUGUGGAUUGAGAUGUGAUAUAAGCAAGCUUAUGGUAAUAGCAUUCUUUGAUUUGAUUUGAGUGCAUAAAUGAUACCCUAAACACUUUGAGUGCAUGGAGUGAAGUCAAUGAGAGUGCUAUUAAAUCUUGUUGCACUUGAAUUUUGAAUGGAUCUUCUUGGUGGUUGAAUGUUUUUCUUUUAUAUUAGCUUAUGAGAUCCUAUGCUUUAAAAUUCUUAUCUUUUGAAUGUUGAUCGACUUAAAUUCUUGAGGUAUGCUUGCUUAAGAUUGUUUUCGGAUGAGUUGAGAUGAGAAUUGAGUGGAGAUUUGGGAUUAGUCUUGAGUUAUAUGCUUGAGGACAAGCAUCAUCUUGGUGUGGGGGAAUUUGUUAGAGUACAAUUUAUGCACUAGUUUUGCAUUGUUUACUUCCUUUAAUAUCGAUGUUUUGCACUUAAUAAUAGUGAUUUACUUGUUUUUUAUUUUUGUAGGUGCAAUUCUAUUGAUUGGUGCUAAAAUUGAGCUACAAGAUAAUGUUUGAGGAUGAUUGUUUUCCUAGAGAAAUUAUGAGCUUCAGAAGAACUUUAUUGAUAAGGCGUGGGCGUAUGCUGUCAACUACGGACCUGCAGUUUUUAGUUUAAUGUGUUUUGUCUUUUUGGUUAUUUUUGUAAUUACUAAUUUAAUAUUUAGCUAAUAUUUUAGAUAUUAGUAUUUUAUUUUAAAAAGAACUCUAGAGGAGGAGAGAGGGAAGAGAAUUUAAAAGAGGAAUCUAUUGUCAAAGAAGGGAAGAAAAAGAAACCCUAGAUCUAAAUUUUUCUCUUCUCUAUGAAGAACUAAAUCUAUUAUUCUGGUUGAAGGUUAAUGAAGAUUUGAUUCAUCACUACUGUGAGAUCGUUCUUAUGCUUUAAUUGUUUUAUUACUUUUUGGGUAUUUGUUUAUUCUCUGAAUUAUUGUCAUGAUUAUGUUUGUUAAUUAGAUAUUUGGUCACUAUUUAAUUAUUAACUUAAUGUAUUGUCAAUUAAAAGAUUCAUUGUAUAAAGAUUUUAAUGUUUGUGAUAAAUAGCAUAGCAGUGCAUUGUGUAAUGAGAAUAAACAAUCUAAUUUAAAUAAACCAUCGUAUGCGUUUGGUGAUUAGGAUUUGGGUCUCUCUGGUUUUUCAGGCUGUUAAUUGAUUAAAUCCUAUGAUCGUAUCUAGGGUUGUCUAUUGAUUAGGAAAAUAACCAACGGUCGUACCUUGGUUAUCGACUAGUUAAGGCGAGAUUGGCUAUUAGAGAGUCUCAGUAGCUAUAACCGGUCUAUUCAUAAGUAGUAAUGAUUUAUAUUUGAAUCAAUGAUCAAUAGUCGAAUCAAGCUGAGUUAAUUCCUUCAACCAGAGCUUUCCCCAAUUUAAAUUACAAUUUUAAUUUGCAUUCUUGUUAUUUUAAUUUGAUUUUUAUUAUUGUCAACAAUUCCCCCAUUUUGCAUUUUACAUUUUAAAAGGAUUUAAAUAAUUACCGAUCUCUGUUGACACGACCCUGCUCAAUCACUAUACACAAUUUAUUUAGAGUAUGGCAUUAUGAGCAUACAUUCUCUACCCUACAAGGUGAAUUCCUAUGUCUAAUUCUUCACACAUUUUAACUCAAAGAUAGCCCUUUUGGGACUCAAGUAAUCUUAAUCCAGGAAACUUAAGUUAUGAUCAAGUAUUACUCUAUUAAUUUCCACUAAGACAGGUCCUUUUGCAGCUCUUUCUUAACUUGAACCAUUAAAUGGGUGGUCAACCAAAAUAAUGAUUAUAAUAAUAGUUAUUAGAGUAAAAUGCUAUAGCAAUCUUGUAGCAACUCAUAAGAACAGUCAAAAACCCAUUUAGAUUGUUUGUCACUCAACUACAAACAGAUUUAGUUCAUACUUCGAAAAAGAAAAGUAAACAGCAAAGUAUUGGCCAUGAAAUACAUCGUUUCAAUCAAAGAGUAAGAAAAGGAACAAGUAAAAAACAAUGAAAAUUGAAUCCAAAUUGUUCUGCUGAUUUCUUCACUGAUGCAGACUUGAGUUUCCCUUGAAUUCUGAUUUUUCCUUCUUUUCCUCUUGAUUUUCUUGAUGUCAAUUCACCGCCACCCUUUUUAUGUGAUGUGCGCUCUAUUUAUAACUGAAAACUAAGGUAAACCAAAGCCUAGGGCACGCGUGAUUCAAAUUAGAAAACUGCAGAUUGCAAUUUUGCAGAUAUCUCGCACUAAGUUUUCUCUAUAGUUGUUCCACGAUUACUACAGCAAUGGUUGCCCCAACAACGGCUAUAGCACUGCACUGCUCCAGAUCUUGUUUCAAUUAUUUUGUGGCCAUAUUCUUCCUCAUUUUGCCAUCCUAUUGCAUCAGCAUCUCUUCCAUAAAUUAUAAGCUUCUGGAAACCUACAAUUAUGCACAUAAUUUGAGCACGAAUUACCUUAAAUCACGUAAAACUUAUUAAGACUAAACUAAAAUGAAUGUUUAUUCAAAAUAUAACAAAAAUGUAAUAAAAACACAUCAUUUACUCUCUAAGUGAUCUUGAUUUGAGUCUAGAAUGGCCAUAAUAACUCUCAUUUCAUAGAGUUAUCACCCAACUUCACAAAUGCAGGUGCAAACUUCUUAAUAGCACGUGAGAAAUUGACUCCAAAUUGUCUUGAAAAGAGAAUAACUACGGUUAAAAAGCAUCAAGUAUCGCAUUAUAGAAUGCGAUAAUUCCUAUGACCACACCGUCCACCGAUGGCAUUGCUUCUCCACUGCCAGAACCUUCUCUAAUCGCUGGCGACAUCCCCACUGAUCAACAACCCUCACAACAACUAUUAACAUUUCAAACCAUAAACCCUAGAUUACAACAAAUCUUUCAAAAUAUGCUCUACGUUGUCGCCACCUUGCCUACCUCCGUUGGUGGCGAUUACUUACUGACGAAACCACCGUUGAACCUUAUGUACUCCUAACAGCUGCCUUUCACCCUCCCUGUACCACCAACCCCCUCAGGCACCAGUACACACGAGCACAAUCAAAACUCAAGCACCACUUAUUGGCCACUAUUUCUGACUCCUUUUAGUAAGACAAAUCCCCUUAGCUGCAAUAUAUCUCACCAACACCUUGCUGUCUCUCUUUUGGCCACCGCUAGUGGCACCAUCAACCUGCCAGCCAUCUCAUAUCUGCCACUUUUGACCACCCAAACCCACUCUACUGUUUAAAACUGAGACCAGCUGCUAAAUGCAGAAAACCUUAGUUAUAAUAAAGAAACCCUAGCCAACAUCCAUCUUUCCAAACCUAAAACUAAACCAAACAUCAAGCCCAAACCCAUGACCCUUUUUCCACCCCUCACUCUUGGUCAUACAUCCAACCCACCCUAAAAGGCCUCUUAUACAUCUAUUACAAAUCCUGAAGUUAUCCUCAACCGUAAUGCUAAGUCUUUUGUUGAUGUUAUUGCUGGCCCCCUGGAAUCUUCAAUUUGGGAAAAGCCAGUUUUAAUAUUUCAUGGUAAAAUUGUUAUCCACUUUUCAGCUACAGAUAUCCAGCCCAUAGCAUAACCAUUCAAACUUUCCCUUGUUAGUAAGUUUUUGUUUAGCCGCCCUCCUGUAGAUGUGAUUCACAAAUUCUUUGUUUCUUGAGUUUUAAAGGUAGUACACAGGUUACUUUGCUAGAUAAUUGAUCAAGCUUUAACUUGGAGUGGAUUACUCAUGUAUUUGGGUUAGGCAGACUUGGUAUGUUAGCGGCAAGUUCACGCGUACUUUUAAGUAGUCUACAUUUAUGCUCUAAGGAGUCUCAGUUGUUCUUGUUUAGGAGUCUUUGCCUUAUUUACCUGUGCAUUUCAUUCAUUACAGAGAUGCUUUAUUUUCUAUUGUAAAUGCUAUUAAAAAGCCUUUACGGGUUGACCGUGCCACUGCUGCUGUUAAUAGGCCCUCGGUGGCUCAUGUACUCAUUGAGUAUGAUGUUUCACGGCUAUUGUUACCAAGACUUUGGAUUAGUAAGGGUGAUAAUGGGUUUUGGCAAGAUAUCAUCUAUGAGCGUGUUCUGUUAUAUUGUGCCACGUGUAAGCAUCUUGGUCACUUUGCUGAUGCUUAUUUUGUUUCUAAUCAUGGGCUUCAAAAGCCCCAAUCACCUAUUGGUUAGGUGAAGGAUAUAGUUGUUGAUGAUACAAGUACGAUACUUAUUACUGAUGGUUUUGUCUAGCCUACUAGGGAUUUUGCUACGUAUGUGGUUACUAAGGAUAAUCGACUACAGAGGCCUGCUCUCGUCCAAGGUCAGUCUUUGGGCCUGGCCCCCUCGAUGAUGUUGCUUGGCCGUCUGCUCUUUUUCCUCAAGAUACUGUAGACGCGACAUCUAAUUCGAUUUCUUCUCUGUGAGUUCCAGAUGAUGAUGGUUUGCAACAUAAUGUUGCUCUAAGAGAUGUUGAUGGAUGCACUAAGGUUGCUAAUUCUCUUGUUUUGGAUAAUCCGAGCGCUCUAAGGACUUCCACAAGCUUUACUUUUUUCAGGUCUAUAGUGGAUGAUAUUCACUCCAUGGUUGUGAGUUUUAAUUACCAUUCUACAGAUAUCCCUAAUCAGUCGGAUGAGGAGUUUAGCUCUGACAGAAAUCCUGCAGUUCAUGAUUAUUUUGCGUCUAAGCCUGAGGGUAUAGCGGGGCAUGAUCUUGACCCCGACCUCAGUAUUGGUGGCCUCCAUUCCUCUAGUUUUAAGAAAGGUUUCAAAUUAGUUAAUGGUCGUAAGUAUUGUAAGUAUUUUUCUCGGCGUUUGCAUUAAUUAAUUAUCUUUAGCUUCUUAUUUAUUCUAUUAUUGUUUUCAUUCUUUUUCCAUUAGUUGGUUAUUUUUGUUCAUUUGCUUGGAGAUUUUGGUCUACGUCCCCCUCCAUAUGUAAUUUUGUUUAUAUUUUAAUAAUCAUAGGUAAGGGGGUCCCGCCUAACCCCACCAACUUUGGUUGAUUUUUAAUUAAAAAAAGCACAAAAAUUGACAAUUAAAGAAUUGAUCUAAAAUGGUAAGACAUGGGAAGUUUCUAGAUAUUAAAAUAUGAAGAAUUUUCUCAUGAAGGGCCUUCCACAUCGUUCUUUUGUUGCCUCUUAACAUGUUGUGAACGGAGAGUGCUUCUGAGUGUCGCUCUCAUUUUACUAAGAUGAAAAAUUAUGGAGGAGCAGAGUUCCUGUAAAACAGCAUAGUUGUGAUAAGUGUUUCGCGUUGCAAUCCCGAAGUAAAAGUUCAUUUGUCUAUGACCACUUUUAUACCCCUCCGGCUGGUGGCUUUUACUACGCAUGUCCAUUGAUGUGAUAAUAAUUUAUAUAUUUCUUAAUUUAAUUUUAUGUUAAAUUAUAUUUUAUCAUAUUAAUUAUAUCUUAAUCUUUAUUUUUGUUAUUUUAGGUACAUUUUAGGAAUAAAGAAGAAUUAAAUCAGAAUAUUCAAAUAAGAAGAGCUUAAAGAAGAAAUUGAUUGGAAAUUUAAGGAAGAUAAUGGGAGUUAAAAUGGAAGAAAAUCGAAGCAACCAAGGCCUAAUUGUAGUUCACGUGAAGAUGAGAAGAAUUAGCAUUGGAAAUAAGUUAAUUAAUAAGGCAAAUCAUGUGAAGAAUAGAGUAAAAGAAGAAAGCAUUCUGGUGAUGGGCUUUGGCCAAAUCAUUAUUGGCUUAUUAAUUGAACAAGUCACGUGCAUGCAUGAAAGAAAAGAAGCGGUUUGGCUUUUGUUUUUAAUUCUUUCCAUAUAAAGAGUUAAAGGCCACAAUUGAAACAAUAUAAAAGGGCACGAGUGGAAGGCCACAAGAGAGGAGGGCAGCCGCACAAAUUGGAAGCCAAGAGAAAAAAAAAACCGAGAGCAAGAAAAAAGAGAGAGAGAGAGAGAGAGAGAGAGAAAAGCCGCCGCUGCAAAUUUUUGCAACAAUUUGGAGAAGUCGAUUGCCGAGAUUGAAGAGAGACAGCUUUUUGAGUUUACUCUUUCUCUUCUCUUUUUCUAUUAUCUUGUUUGAAUGUUCCUAAUUAAAUUUAUGAAUUCUCUUUAUAUUCCCAUGAACUAAUUUAUUUUGCUAGGGCUACGAUGUAGCCUAACUAUAAAGAUUUAUUUCCAUAAAUAUAUGUUAUUUUUAGUUUAUUAUUUCAUGGUUGAGUGUUCAUUAUUGUGCUUAAUACUUUUAAAUAUUUGGUCAAUAUUUAAAUGAUUUAAGGAUAUAUAAUGAGACCGAAAGGAGAUUUAUGUAUUUUUGCUCUAUGUAAUGGAUGCCAUGACAGAGAUGUGCCAACGUGAUUCAUGUAGUUUUUCUAAGAAUUUCCAUAGAACUUAAUGAAUCUUUGCAUAUUUAAAUUCACAGAGAGAUAUAGUGGGUUAAUAUGUGAAGGUAUUUUUGAUUUUACUCGGGAGAGGAUAUUGAAUAGAUUAGGGAAAUUCACUGUCAACAUUGGUAAUAAAUUUUAAUAACAUAAAUGGAGGAUUAAAAUUGGAUUGGUUAUGGUGAAAUCAGAUGUCCUAGAGUCAUAAUCUCUUCGUGAUUUCUAUUACUGCUUGCAUAUUUAUUUAGUUUUUAGUUAUUUUAUUCUAUUUUAAUUUUUUUUAUCUAAAUCCGUCUAUACGAUUGUUCAAAUAAAUUAGGAUUAGAAUAAUUUCGGUAGCUAAUAGGAUAUACAAUCUCUGUGGGACGAUAUUCUACUCUUCAUUUUAUUACUUGUGCCGACUAAUACACUUGCUAAUUUAUGCAUCAUCCACCAUAGUCCGAUAAGCAAGCAUAUAACACUUUUUAUUGGAGAAAUGUUUGAUUAGAAUAUGAUGGGUAUUGUUAUCCGGACUAAUUCGUCCAAUUUCCUCGUAACAUUCAUUACGCUCUCCAUAGCACCAGCUAUGCAGUAGGCAUAGAGCAUGCAAUUUAAAUCAUAUUUGUCAUACUUGACUUCAAAAUACCCAGCCAAUUUGCCUCUUCAAAACACCCACCCUGGCAGAAUGCUGAAAUCAUGAUACUGUGGGCAUAGUCAUUUGCGUGAGGCAAAUAAAAUUUGUGGUUAACCUAAAAGCUUAGAUAUAGUACUAUCUUUUGUUUGGUUAAUAUCUGACUGAACUAUGUUAAUUUAAUUUAAUAAAUUAUUAAAUAAAAUUCUGAUAUUCAAUAUAAAAUUACUUGGUUAAAAAUUCGUGAAAUUCACUUCUAUGUUUAAUUUAUAUUAAAAUAUUAGGUUAAAUGAAAAAGAAAAAAGUGAUAAAGAGGACACAAAGCUUUUGUUUAAUCUUAUCUCACCUAAACCCCUAUAAAAAUAAGGAUUAAUAAUCCUAUUAGUUUUAGACUAAAUUUAAGUUUACUCUAAUGGUCCAUGACAACCAAACAUACCUUAGAUUAAAUUAUUUUGUUAGUUUCAAAAUCUAAUUGAAUCCCACAAUUUAUCGAAGCUCCCAAAAACAGCCUAAUAUAUAGUUAAAAAAUAUUGUAUUCAUAAAAAUGCGGUACAAGUAAGAAUACCAACGUUAGUGCACCAAUAUACAUAUGAGAUAGGAUCAACUAUCUCUCUCUUUUGAAACAAUAACUUACACAAAAUCUUAACCUUUUAACAUUACCUAAUGAUCUCUUUAAUACUAUUUUGAUUUUAAAAAAUGGUGUCUUUAAUACUACUUUGAUAACAAAUGGGUUACAAAAUUUU
rnacentral:lncRNA from 1 species